UGCGGUAUUUUGUUGCAUCAAAAUGAAAAUAUAAUCGUAAUUUCUAUGUUGUGUUGCUUUGCUCCAGCAGUUGGUCAAAUUGAAAAUUGAAAGAAGGUUAUCAAUGGCAAUAUGGCAUUAAAUACGCACCGCAUGAUUAAUGAUACCAAUAAUGAUAUUUUGUAAUGGUAGUAUGGUACCCACGGCCCAUGCAAUAACACAUUGGCCGUCGAUGCUAUAAGGUAUGGGGGCAUGAAGCCCAUCCAACUCAUUCAUUCACAUGUCCUGCAUUUAUCAUUUCCACUUCACCCUCUUCAACAUUUAUUGUCACCACCAAAUUCCACAACGUUCACCCUUGAAAGUUUUUAUUAUUCAUGUUAAAGGUAUUGUUCCGAGGCCCUAGCUAGUGCAUCAUCAUCAAAUCAUUGGCAUGGAGAAGUCUUUUGGUACACACAAUUUUGCAUAUGUUGAUCGUUUAAUGGAACUUUUAUCAUUAUAUCUAACUAUUCCUGCGAUACAAUAUUUCUUAAGGUAUGAACAUUAAUGUCUUGCCGAGAGUGUACAUAAAGCUUCUAUUUAUUUUUACUACCGUUCAAUAAAAUCAUGCUAUUUAUACAAUCAUAAAAAAAAAAACAAUAUGUAAUUUUUUUAAAAGAAAAUUUUACUGAAGUAAUUUUGGGAUAACAACAUUUCGGUUCAGUGGUUUCCAAUGUUAUUUUUCAAGUACGGACGUAGCUCGUGCAAUUAUAUCAAAUGGGUCCAUGAUUCCUCCCAAGUUUUGUUUUGUUCUUCUUCUUUUAAUAUCACAUCGCCAUAUUCUCUUAAAUCAAUUCUAUGAUGGCAAAAUUUAGAUAUUUAUUUUGGAUCUAGAAUGAAUGGGACCUAUUUUUGAACGAUUAAAGGACCUGAUAAAUACACGUAAGUAAACUCAAAUUUCGUAGAAGGAGAAUUAAUUAGGGAUGGCAAUGGGUAGGGGAGGGGAGGGGACCAAUCUUCCCGUACCCAUUCCCGAUAUUUUGUGUAUGUCUCUGUUCUCUCAUCGUCCCCGUCAGAAUUACUUGAGAGAAUUUUCAUCUCCUCCCCGAAUAAUAACAGGGGAUCCCCGAGGGUCCCCGAUCUCCAAAUAACUAAUACAUUUUUUUGUUUUCGAUUUUGAGUUAAUCAUAUUAAAAUAAAAAAUUCAAAUAAAAGUAAAGUUUAGAAUAUUUCUUACAUUAAUAUCCAUUACAAAAGUCACAUAUAUUAAAUUAAUAAGUACCGCAGCAUGCAAGGGAUACAAACUUCUUUUACAAACUAUCGUGAACAAAUUAAUAGUCUAAUACAAAAUUGUUACAAAUAAAAUCGAAUUUAAAUUCAAAAUUAACUUUUUCAAUGGUUUCGUGGGCACUUUAUAAAUGUGGACUAUUCCCUUUACAGCACAAUAGUUAAGUCGGAGCAAAACAAAAGCAAAUAUUAGAUUAUAUUAUAUUAGAUUUUAAAAUUGUGAUUCGCUGUGGGCAAUUAUAACAUCUAAAAAUAAAUAAAUAAAUAGAUUUAAAUUUAAAAUAUUUAAUGAAUAUUAAAAUUAAAACAAAAUUUUUGGGUUAAUAGAAUCUAUCCGAUCUUUUUAAUGUCCUAAAUAAAAAUUUAUGACUUUAAUUAGUUAAUUAGGCCUAAAAGUUCAAUAAUAUAAAUAUUUUGAUAUUUUUUAUUUUUACCAAUAUUUAUAAUUUUAUAAUUCAAAUUUUAUUAUUUAUUUACUAGUAAUUUUAAAAAUAAAAAUAAAUUAAAAAUUAAAAUGGGGAAAUGGGUAGGGGAUGGGGAUUCCACUUCAUCCCCGUCCCCUCUCCGAAUAAGAAAUUGAGUAAAAAUUCCUCGUUCCUUCCCCGAAUAAAAAAUUGAGUAUAAAAUUAUCCACAUACUCUUCCCGAAUGGGGAAAAUCCCUGAGGCUACCCGUCCCUGUGGGGAUUUUUGUCAUCCCUAGAAUUAAUUGUUAGGUUAUUAGAUGGUCAUGGUGAAUCACCAAGUAUUAAUGUUGGGGUUCGGCUACGGUGUAACUGUGGUACCAUGCCAUAGUUGCAUCCAGCCGUUGGAUCCACUUAAAUGGGUGGGAUCCAUUAAGAUCUAACGACUGGAUGUAAUUGUGGACAACUAUAAUACGGUACCACAAUUACACCACAAUUUUUCCCUUAACGCUGUAGUCUUUGGCACCAAAUUUAAAGCAAUGAUUCACCAAAUUUAAAGCAAUUCUAUGAUGGCAAAACUCAUUGACUCUUGAAUGGUCUCUCCGCGUACGCGUGAGUGCGUGUCGGUAUAAAUACGAAGGACUUGUCACAUUGCCCACAUUGAUGACCCCCCCCCCCCCCCCGACAAUCUGGUUACUUGUAUGCCUCUUUCAUCAUAAAAGAUUAUCAAUUCUUCAUAAAUUUGACUCUUUUCUGUCUUCCAAAUUCAAAUUUUCAAAAGUUAGAUUCGAAUUGAUUGAAGAGUUUGAAACUAUUGGCACCCCUUUAAUAACUUCUUAAAACUCUUUCUUAACGGCACCCAUUUAAUAAUUAGAAUAAAUUAAACUUUUUGUUUACACCUAUUUUUAUUUCUUAAAUACCCUUAUUUUCAUUUUCUUCUUUAAUAAAAUCCCACAUUUUCGUUGUAUAAGUGUAGAAUACCAAAUAUGGUCUUCUUUCUUUGGAAUUUUAUUUAUUAAAAAAAUUCAUUAAAAUUUGAAAAUAAACCCACAUUAUCAUCAAUAAUUUGUCUGUCUAUAUUUUUUUCACUACUUAAACCCAUAUGAUUUUUAAAAAAAAAAAUUAUUUUAUGAAAAUAUUAUGAGUAAUUUUCUUAAUGAUAGAAGGUGGAGUGGUUAUAGAAAAAUUAUUAACCGGUUAACUAGGAACUAAAUAUCGAAGAAAGUAAACUUGUUGAUUUUAUAAUGAAUUAUUAGAUGUUCUUGGUUUUUGCAAAAAAACAUAAUCAGCAUUAAAGAGAUGAUUGUUAUUCUUUUAUAUGCUUUUAAUCAUGACUUAAGUAGUAAAUAUAGAGAAGGGAUUUUGAAGGGUGACAGCAACUCCACUCUUGAUUGAAUUCAAUUUUUUUAUCACGGAAUGCAAAAAUUUCUUCUUCUUUUUUUCAAAAUACAUGGGGUAUACUAACGAUAAAAUUAUGCUAUAAUCAUCGUAUUGUAAUCCUCUUUCAUUUUCUAUGAUUCAACCCUUUAUUUUCUUUCUUAUAAGUACAACGAUAAUUUUAUUUUCUAUUCUUCUUCCCUUCUUCUCCAUGUGAUCUAAUUUUCUCUGUUUAAUAAUUAAUCAACUGCUAGUGAUGAACCUCUUAUGAUUAAAAAAAAAAAAUAUUAAUCAACCAAUUAUAAUUAACAACAGCCAACUUCUUUGCAACUAUUGGUUCGUUUCCUCAAUUGCAAAAGCUUGAUCAUUAAAAUUUAUUUUUACUCCGUACAACAUUGUUAGUGCCAAAAUUGACCUUAGCUAAAUAAGACUUUUAAUUUUGUUUUUUUUUCUUUUAACACCUGUAAAAGUAUUUAAACAUAUCAAGCUAAUUUUUAUGUUGACACAUUUAUUAACAAUACUGUUAAUACCAAAAUUGACCUUAGCUAAAUAAGGUUUUUUUUUUUUCAAACAUUCAUAAAAAUUCUUAUCAAGUAUUUCUAUGUUGACCCAUUUAUUAAUCUACAAAAUGUCUUCGUUUAGAGUAGUUGAGAAAACUAUUAUGAUUUUUUGUUUUAGUUUUCCAAAUCAAACCCAUUUUUCUCCAGUCUUUUUCUCUAAUAGCCAUUCGCUCAUACUUAUGUUUUGACCCCACCCACCCAAAAAAUAAAAAGGCCCACCACACAAUUCUUCUAACGAUCGAUUGAUUUUUUAUUCUGCUCCUUAAUUUCCUUUUUUUUUAAUUGCACAAUGCUAUUUUCUUUCAGUGAUAUUGUUGCUUCUUUUUUAUAUUCUUUUUCUUUUAUUCUACCUUAACUGCAAAACAUACUUUUUUUUGCAAAUAAUUAAUUUGUUGAUUUUUUUUUUUAUUGUAAGGAAAAAUGUGGCAAGUCAAAUAACCAGAGCAUGAAAACAUGUGAGCAUGAGACCUUGAGAACAUUUAAGCAUAUGAGCAUGUGAGCAUGAGGGCACGUGAGUAUAGGAGCAUAUGAGCAUGAGAGCAUGUCAGUAUGACAGCAUGUGAGCAUGUGAACAUGCAAGCAUGAGAUCAUACUAGUUCAGUAGAAAGUUUAAUAAGUCAAUUAAGCAUAGCUAUGUAAGUGCAUUAGAACUUGUGAUUAUGAGAUAAUGAGAACAUGUUAGUAUGAGAGAAUGCAAGCUUAGUAGGAAACUUAAUAAAUCAAUUAAGCACCUUACAUGAAGGUAUGAGAACAUGUGAGCAUGAGGCCACGUUACAUGAAAGCUUGUGACCAUGGGACCACGAGACCAUGUAAGCGCGUGAGUAUGUAGAGGAGAAUGAGAGCAUACAAGCUCAGUAAAAAGCUUAAUAAGUCAAUUAAGUACAGUUAAAUGAGAGCAUGCAAGCUCAGAAGAAAGCUUAAGAAGUCAAUUAAACACAAUUACAUUAGAGUAUGCAAGCUCCAUUAAGAAACUUAAUAAGUCAAUUAGGCUAAGUUAAAUGAGAGCAUAAAGUCAAAUGAGCACAAUUGUUAAAGAGCAUGAUUGCAACCGAGCAUUGUGGUAACACUUAAUAAGUAAAAAAAGUAUGAUUGCGGGAGAUUGUGGCUGUAAGAGAGUAUAAUAGCACGAGAGCGCUACCAUGGCAGAUGGGUUUAACUAAAAAAGCCCACCUGCUGAAUCUAAUAACGAGGCACCAAUAAUUGGAAACAUUAUCAAAGACAGUAAAAGAAUCUAGAAGCUCUUGAAGCACAAAGCAAGAUAAAGAAGGAGAUAAAUGCUGGAGAUAAGCGUUGAUAUUAGACAAAACUCAAUUUAAGAAAGAGAUAAAUAUUGACAUCAGAUAAAAGUCUUAGUGAUAAAGAUGAUCAACACGAGAAAUUAUCGAGGACUUGGGAUAUAAAUUUUAUUAUAAAUAGAGAAUCCUUGAUGCAUAGAGAUAUAGGAGCAAAUGGUUAAACAAAAAAAAAAGAGCUUCAUUGUAAUUCUCAUUUAAUUGUGAGCAUUACUUUUUCUAUACCCAUGGAUAUAACCAAGUGUUAACCACGUAAAUUCACUAUUUUUUUCUUAUAUCGUCCCAUUAUUUAAUUCUCUAGUUGAUUAGAAAUUCCGUCAAUUUUUUAAAAAAAAAUGCAAUGCCCUUAAUUGCAAAUAAUAUUUCAGUAUUUUGCAAUUAAAAUUUUUGAUAAAUAUCAGUUUGUAGAGUAUUUUGUAGGGUGCAAAUAGUCUCAUCCUAUUUUUAAUUAUCUAAUUAUUUACUAAUUUGAAACAAUCUAGACUUAUGUGACAAAAUUUUGAAACGUUUUAUUAUUUAUAAUUUCAGUACACAACAAGGGUUGCAGUGUUAAUAACCAAUUUAACACAUCCACCCAUUAAAGCUACUCUUCCGUAAAAUCUGAUGGUGAUAACACAAACACAAAAAAAACAAUGAGGGUAUUACACAACAGUUGUAGGGUAGUUAGACUAGUCUAUUAACAAGUUAAAUACAUGUACUUUUAUUACAAAUUAAAUAUGAGUAUAAUUGGAAAAUUUAUGUUUACUGGACACGAGGCUUCACCCUUUUAUUUAAGAAAAUAUAAAUGCUUUUAAUAAUAUUUGAGAAAGUAUAUUUACCAUUGCUCAUAAUUGCUAGAGAAGAUUCUUAUUAAGUGCAUGUUUGGUAUGACUUAUUUAAUGAUUAUAAGUGAUUAUGUAAUUCCUAAAGCUCUUCUUUAUUUUAUUUUAUUUUUUUGCAUUGUCUAGCUGUACUUUGAGAGGAGUUUUGGAGAUUAAGUACUUGUUUGCUAUAAUUUAUCUAAUGGUCAUAACUACUUAUGUAAUUCCACAAGCUCUUUUUAAAAUUUUCAUUAUUAUUUGAUUAUUUUUUUAGUAGAGAUUUUGAAGAUUAAAUGAGCUAUAUUGAGCUUAAAUUUUAGGUUUUUGAGAGUAGAUGUUAAAUUUUCUUUUUAACUUAUAUGUAAUAUAGUUCAGCCUCUUUUUUAAAAUGUUAGAAUACCUAAAAUGUCAUUUACUUAUUUGUCAAUCAUAUUUCAUUCCUUCAAAAUAAUUUUAUAAUUUCAAUGAAAGCUCUUGUUGACAACCCAAAAAACAAUUGGUAAAAACUUUAUUUAUAAAAGCUUUAAAUAACCUAUAAAUAAAAAGUUAUACUAAAAAGAGCCCAAACAAGCUAUUCUACCUCUAUUAACAACUAAAAUUUUGAGCUUUUGAAAAUAGAUGUUAAAGAGCAUUUUUAAUAGUUAAAUUGUCUAAUAUAUUCUUUAUUUGUUACACAAUAUUAUUUCAUUUAUUUUAUAAUAUAACUUUAGAAAAUUUAUCAAUUGAAAAUAGUCUUUUAUAAUUUUUAAUAAAAAUUCUCAAUGAUAACUAAAUAAUUAAUUUUUUUAAUAAAAACUCUAAUUUUUAAGAGACUUUGAACUGAAAGGGGAAGCCUUAGUAGUGUGGAAAUAUUAAUUGAAACAUGCAAAACAUGAUGUUUGAUGACAAUAAAAGUCAAAUAAUAUAUUUAAGCUGGAACAAAUUGGAUGGGGUAAAUAAUCGGUGAGGGGAAGUGGGUAUGAUUAAUGAGAACGAAUAAUAUUAAAAAAUUAAUUUUAAUUAACACAGUUGUAUUGUCGGAUAUUUAUGAUUGGCUUUUUGUAGUCUAUUUGGGAUUGAAGUUAGACAAUUGUAACUUAAAAAUUACAGUACUAAGUGUUUGGUAAAUACUAGCUGCUUAGUUUGUAUUGUCGGAUAUCUAUGAUUGGUUUUUUGUAGUCUAUUUGGAAUUGAAGUUAGACAACUGUAAAAAUUACAGUACUAAAGUGUUUAGUAAACACUAGCUACUUAGUUUUCAAAUUAAGUUGAUUUGAUUUUACAUUUAUAUAAUAAAAAAAUUAUUAUAUCUUUACUAAUUUUGUCAAAAUUAUUAUUUAAAAAUUGUAUUUACUACGUAUGAUUAACUUUUAUUUCAUAAUUAUAAUUUUUUUUCCACAACAGUUGUAGGUUAAAAGUUAUACCACCUCAAUCCCAAACGUGACCUUGGAUAUUUGCCCUUUUCGCACAUUGGCAAAAAUUCAAUGCGUAAACAAUAAAAGAAAAGACAAAAAAAUUUGGGAGUACAAAAUGUAUAAUAUUGGCACCAAGUGCCAAAAUUAGUACUUAGCCUUAUAACUCUGCAUCACAUACUUUUAAAAUAAAGAAGAUUGAGGGCAUGUUUGGAAUUUGUUGUAAUUUAAAGAAUAAUAUGAUUAUGCUCUGCUGAGAAAAAUAAACAAUUAUACCAUACAACAAUUAGCAGUUUGGUAAUUUUAUUGUUAAAGGUGCUAUAAAUGUCAAAAACAUUUUGCAUGCAUUUACGUAUUAAAGUGUUUUGAUAUGAUAUAAUGACCAUAAGAAACAAAGAAUAAAUUGCUCACACACAUUUAAAAAAAAAAUUUCUAACACUCAAUUUUGCACCAUAUGAAAAAUUAAACCACUAAUUGAAAAUUCUUUGAACUUUAUAAUUCAUAGAAAUAUUUUAAUGAACAUAUAUAUGGAUAUAUCAUGUAAUUGAUAAUUUAAUGGUUAUAAUUGUUGUAAUAAGAAAUGUGAAAAGUCACAAUAAGCAUGACUGUAGAAGAGCACAUCAAGAAGAGAGCACGAUAGCAAGAGAAUUCAAUAACUAGAAACUUGAAUAAAUAAAAAAAACAUGACUAUAAGAUAGCACAGCUAUAAGAGAGCUCAGUAGUUGGAAGUUUGAAUAAGUUAAAUAAGUACAACUGUAGGAGAGCACACCUACAAGAAAGCACGAUAGCAAGAGAGCUCAACAACUAGAAAUUUGAAUAAAUCAAGACAGCUACAGGAGAGCUUAGUUAAAUAAGCAUGACAGCAGGAGAGCACAACUAUAGAGGAGCACAAUAGCAUGAGAGAUCUAUAGCUGGAAGCUUAAUAAGCCAAAUAAGCAUGACUGCAAGAGAGCACAACUACAAGAGAGCAUGAUAGCAUGAGAGUUUAGUACCUAAAAGUUUAAUAAGUUAAAGGAAAAUUAUCAGUUAUAUACCCUUAAAUGACAUCCGUAUCAAACAUGCUACAACACUUUUCAAGUGUAUCACUCGUAUACCGUAAGUUGAUAAAACACUUCUGCCGUCCACCAAUCCGUUAACUUCCGUUAGAAAAGUUAACAUAAUUAUGGCAAAUUGACUAUUUUGCCCUUGAAACUCAAAAUAAGGUAAAAAUAUGAAUUUACCCUAAAAAUUAACUUAAAUUUUCAAUACACAAUUUCUUUUAUUUUGUUAUUAACAAUACAUUUUUUAUUGAAAAAAUAUGAAUUAUUAAUGGUACAUAUUAUUAACAAUUAUCUGUAAAAAAUAUUCAUAUUAUAACAUAAAAAAAUAUUAACAACAUAUUAUUUACAAUUAUAGAUAUUAUACUAUAAAAAAUUCCAGUUGGAGCUUGAAGGAGUAGAUCUUCAAAAAUUUAGGUUAAAUUUUGAAGGAGUAGAUUCGGUUGUAAAGUAGCUUUUUUUUAGCAAUUAUUAAUAAUUAUUCGAUAAAUGGGAUGACAUGUUAUUUUUAUUAAUAUAUAUCAUAUGACAUGUUAUUUUUUAUUAGGUAAAUGAGAUGACAUGUCUUUUUUUUUAAAAAGACUAAAUUACCCUUAUGAUGUCAGCGCUUGCAAACGGCAGUUAACGGAUUGGUGGACGGCAGAAGUGUUUUGUCAACUUAGGGUAUACGAGUGAUAUAUUUGAAAAAUGUUGUAACACGUUUAAUACUGGUGUCAUUUAAUGAUAUAUGACUGAUAAUUUUCCUAAGUUAAAUAAGCAUAAUUAUAGGAGAGUAAAAUAUAGAAGUCAAAAACCCAAUGACUUUAUUUUACAGAAGAAAAGUACUAAAACAAAAUUACAAAAAAAAAACUCAUAAUAAAAUGAACACAAAACACAAUAAACCAUAUAGAAGUCGUUCCUAGAAAAUAUUUCGUUAAAGAGCCUACGCAAAAACCACGGCCAUAGGUCUAUAAGAACCUCCUCGCACCACCAUAUCAAAACUCUAUUGAAUUAGAAAAUAGGAAUGUGUGUGUGUGUGUAAAAGGCAGCUGUAUUAUGCACUAUAAAAGUCUAAUAACUCGGCAUCAUCAAAGUAACAGUGUUUACAUUCUCUGAGAUUUUUUUUUUUUUAUAUAAUGGAGCCUAGUAAAGAUUAGGACAAAACAGAGCGGGGAAUAGUAUUCCCAUACAUAUCAUUUCAUAACCAAUAUCCAUACAUUCUCUGAGAUAACCCCACAAUAAUGGUACAAGUGUGACUAGUUGAAAGGUCGUUGAAGCUAUUAACAGCUCUUCACCAGCGAGAAUUAAUUAAUGCAGCCACCUCCUCAUUGCACAUGAAGCUUUCUAUUUUCCCCAAGUCCCCACCUACAAACCUCCAAACACUCAUAAAUCCCUAAUGCAUCCCCCUCCUAUUUAUUAACCUUACACCAUCUUUGGCAGAACGAAACAAAACAAACACGGAUUAUUCUUUUUUCCUUUGUAGUUAGCUUUCGAGGAAGUUUGAGGUUAUAUUUAUUAAAUAUAUUUUUCCUUUUGGUUGUAUCUGAGUGAUCUAAGCAGAUGGGUAUCGUCUCUUUGAUAACAGGAAGGCCUGGAUCAAGUGGGUUUGGUUCAGCUUCCACUGCUGAGCAGGUUACUGAUGGGAUUGACGCAACCAACCUCACUGCUGUCAUCACAGGUUAGCUUCGCUUAUAGCUUUAAUAUUCAAAAGUUCAACAUUAUGGUACUUGAUGGUUUCUUUGAUGUAUGUGACUCUUUUUGUGAAUCUUUCGAUCAACUUAUUGCUUUCUUUAUUGUUAAAUCUUUUUUUGUGGUGAAGAAUAUGGAACUUUUAUUCAACUAUUUGUAAUGCCGGCUCUACCACGUUACUUGAGGCCUUUGGGGAAACUACACAUUAGGGUUUUAUUUAUUUAUUUGUCAAAAUAAUUUUUUUUUUUAAAUUGAAAUUGUAGUUUAGAGCUUUCCUUUCUUGCUUCUUCAUAUGAAAAAUCAAUCGUUAUGUGCUAAAAAUAAAAAUAUAUAAUCGUCCACAUUACGUUCUCAUAUUCAAAACUAUGUAUCAUUCACAGAGAGAAUGUCUCCUUUUCAUAUUUAUUUAGGAAUUUAUUAAAAAAAGUAUAAUUUAAGAAUUUAUGUAAGAAAAAGUUUAUUAAUAUAAGUUUUAGUAUUUUGAUUGAAUUUUUCAAAUAUAAGAAAAUGGGGUCUUUAAUUGCAUCCGUUGAGGCACUUACUUGCCUGGGCUUUCGGCCGAUCAUGCAAAUUUGGAUCCAUAUCCCACUGACGUUUGUCUCAUGCCUCCCAACCAAAAUCUAACCCAUUAACAAGUAAAUAAUAAAACAGUGGGAGAAGUAUUAGGCUUGUUUCGUCACAUUUUCUGUUUUGCGAAAAUAAUAAAAUGAAAAACAUUUUCUGUAGAACACUUUUUAACAUCGUUUUUCAUUUGAUAGAAAUUGAUGGUAUCCAUUUUCUACUUUUUGUUUAGAAAAGCAGACAAGGAUUAAUUGUCGUUUCAAUUUCACUGCAUCGGAAAUUGCACAAAGGCUCCACAAACUUUUUUGUUUUACUUCAUCGUAAUUACUAUGACCCCAUAUGUCUUCCUUUUUUAUUUAAAAUUUCACAGCAAUUAGAAAAAAAAAGGGUCCCAAAUAUCUUUUAUUUAAUAUAAUUGCUUCAUAAAUACUACCAAGUAUAAUUUUACAAUUUUUGUUUUAAACACUACUUUUAAAAUAAGUUACUAAUCGUGUUUUUAUAUUCACCCAAAACUAAUAAUUUUUUAUUAUUAAAAAAUACAAAAACACCAUUUGAAAAAUAAUACCAAAUGCACCCUUAACUUACCAAUCAUAUUUAUGAUUCAAAAAUAAUUUUUAAAAAUUGGGUGUGUUUGGUAUUAUUUUUUAAUUGGUGUUUUAUAUACUACUUUUAGAAAAAAGAAAAUGACAUUCUUAAUGUGACAUUUUUUAAAUUGAAAAUAUGUUGACCAGUUUGAUUUAUAAUGAGGGGGGAAAUGACAUUUUUCCAUUAGUACAGGUUUGAUCAGAAAUUAACCAAAAUAUAAUAAACGUUUUAUAAAAACUCAAUUUGAAAAUAAUUAAACCCAAUGUGAUUUCUAAAUUAUUCUUUUUGUAUUUUUUUUCCAAAAAUAAAGAACUAUUGUAUGCAAAGCGUGUCUUAACUGUAGACACUUAGAAAAAGAGGGAGGAAAAAAACAAAAAAACAAAACAAAACAAAAAGAGAGAGAGAGCGAAAAAUGGACCUGGUUAUGCUUUUUGUCCUCUCUUUCUUUUAAAUACUCUCAUGUUUUUAAUGUUCAUAAUAUAUAUUAAUAGCAUGCUUUUGUAAAUCUUCUUUAGUUCUUCAUAUUGAUCUCUGCUUUAAGAAUUGCUCUGAUUUUCUCUCUCUCAAGAAUGAAAGCACUAGAAUCUUUUUUUAUAUAAAAAAGAAUUUAUGUAUAAAUAAAAAAAAGUUAUUAUCUUUUUAUUGCUUAAGUUAUUGGGAAAUAUAAGAUAUAAGUGUAACAAGUAUUGUUGCAUAACAUUUUACUACUAAAGAAUUGUAAAAUCUUAAAUUUUAUUAUUUUUCUGUUAAAACUGUUACUUAAUCGUUGGUUAUAACACCUUUAAAAUAUUAAUUUUACCCUUACUUGAAAAAACAUACAAAGAAUAUUGAUGAAUUUAAAAAACAUUAAUACAAAGUAUAUUAACAUUUUUUUUUUAUCAAUACCAAUCGUAAUAUGUUUCUAAUAAUAAUUUUACUCUUCAUAUUCAAUGAAAUUGUUAUUUUGAUUUUACUUUACCCCUAUUACAUCAACAUGAUGUAUGCGAUCAAUUAACAGUUAACUAAUCGUUAUAAUUAAAUUUAUAAUUAUUUAGUAGUAAAGUGUUAUAGUAUAGUCAUUACCGUACCUAAGCAGUAAAAAGAUAAUAACUCAGAUAAAAAUAUUUGAACACAAUUAAGAUAUAUAUUUGGGGAUAAUUAAUUGACGAAGGAAAAUGCUUGCAGGAGGGGCAAGUGGAAUUGGCUUGGAGACAGCAAGGGUCUUGGCUCUACGUAAAGCUCAUGUUAUUAUUGCUGCAAGAAACAUGGCAGCUGCAAAUGAAGCAAGACAGCUUAUUCUAAAAGAAGAUGACACUGCUCGUGUUGAUACUCUGAAACUUGAUCUUUCCUCUAUUGCUUCUAUUAAAGAUUUUGCUCAGAACUUCAUUGCUCUUAAUCUUCCCCUCAACAUCUUAAUGUAAUUUUACUCGCCCCUCUUUCUCGAAAUAUUACAUAACUAUCUACUGAUGUUUCUGAGAAACAAUAAAAGCAUACUAUAACAUGCAAAAAUUAAUUUAAUGCAGAAACAAUGCUGGAAUCAUGUUCUGUCCCUACCAGAUUUCUGAAGAUGGAAUAGAGAUGCAAUUUGCAACAAAUCAUAUUGGUGAAUACUUUAAUUUGAAGCUGUAUUGGUUGUUAUUAAUUAACUAGCUAAAUUAGUAUUCAACUUUAAAUAUUACUUUUGCAGGGCAUUUUCUUUUAACAAAUUUGCUUCUGGACACAAUGAAUCGCACGGCUAAAGAAACGGGUAUUGAGGGCAGGAUAGUGAAUCUAUCAUCAAUAGCCCACCAAUACACAUACAAAGGUGGCAUUCGGUUUCAGAAGAUCAAUGACAGGGCCGGGUAUGUUUUGAUCAUAUAAUAAUAAUUAAUCAACUAAAAAUUUCUUCUCAUGUACGUCAUAAAUUUUGAUUCAGUUACUCUGACAAAAAGGCUUAUGGGCAAUCUAAAUUAGCUAACAUAUUACACGCCAAUGAGCUCUCGCGACGAUUUCAGGUAAUCGCAGUAAAUGAUUUGAUGAUCAUUUUUGUUUCCUGAGUUGGGCCCUGCUUGGUUUUGAAGUUGGGUUUGGAAGCUAAAAUAAUUUGAUCCAUCAAAGUUAUUAUUUAAAAGUCACAUUCACUACACACCAUUAACUUUUAUUUCACAGUUGUAGUUUUAUCUUAUAAGUUACAGUAUUUCAAUACCACUAGGAACUUAGUAGCCCAUGAAUAUCGUCACAUGAUAAUUUUACUAACUUGGUUACAGGAAGAGGGAGUGAAUAUCACAGCAAAUUCAGUUCAUCCGGGGCUAAUAAUGACGAAUCUUUUCAAGCAUUCUGCUGUUGUGAUGAGUAUGUUCUAUCAUAUAUAAUCCCAGAAAGUAAAAACAAGCAGCGUUAAGAUGUUUGUUUUCUUACUAUCUUUAUUUGUGCAGGAUUUUUGAAAUUUUUCUCAUUCUUCCUGUGGAAAAACGUACCUCAGGUACUUAAUUUCCUAAGAGCUCAUUGAAAUUUAUCAGCUGAUUAUUAACUAACUAACGUUACCUUUUGAAACUAAUGGCUCUAGGGGGCAGCCACAACGUGCUAUGUAGCUCUACAUCCAAAUCUGAAAGGCGUAACCGGAAAAUAUUUCCUGGACUGCAAUGAGAUGCCGCCAAGUGCACUUGCUAGAGAUGAAACGCUGGCAAAAAAACUGUGGGACUUCAGCAACAAAAUGAUUAACUCGGCUUCAAAAACCUCAGCAUAAGGUUAUUGCAAUACUACAGACUUACUACGAGUGAAAUUAGAGACUCAAGUGCUGGUUAAUUCUAAUGUUUAUAUAUGGAACCGAUUGAAAUGGAAGGGGGUGUCGUGUGAAUGAAUUGCUUAGUUAUGUAUGGAAGCAUAAGUGGCUUUGAGAAAUUGAUUGAUGUCAAUCGCAUAAACGUGUUGCUUGUAAUCGACGAUAGUCACAGUCCAUGUACCCACAUUUUGCUUCUCCUCUACGGUACCCAUAGCGUGUACUGAUAAUCAGAAAAGUCAAUAAAAUAAUUAUCUGACGGUGCAAGCAAAUACAGGCCGUCGGAAUGGCGUGGUCACGACGUUAAAUCAGCUUCUGUUUAUCAAAUCACUUAUUUUAUGAUUCCAGACAUACCCUUUAUAACGUAAAAUGCAAGUGUUUGAUUAUUUUGUAGCAACGUCCUAUUUCGUUAUAAUAAAAUCAAAUUCAUGUCGUAAGAAAUGAUGUAUCAUGUACAGGCUUCUUUUUUUCUUUUAUUUGUUUUCUUUCAACAAAAUUAAUUGUUUACGACGAAAUUGCACGUGGCUGCUAUCGAAGGUGGAAAUUAAAUUUAUAAAAAAAAAAAAAGAACCUAAAACUUACUCAUGAAAGAGUCAAGAGGAGUCGUCGUUCUCAAACAAGCCUAACGCUCGGACCGCCCAGGCGGACCCAGCCACGACAACGGCCGCAAAAACCGGAGGGACAAGCAAGUCAAUUUUGGAUCUCCUAAACAGGUGGGCCGGCAGGCAGAGUAUCUCUCCCGGCAGGUCCAACGGAACCCUGACGGCAACGGACGCAUCACCGGCAGCGCCCUCGCACUCUUUCGAAAAUGAAGAGGAGGGAGAUAUCGACCAGACAAACGUGACCUCUGGCCAAAACGACGCCGCGGCGACGGUUGCGGUCAGGAGAGCCGUCCACACGGCAGCGUAGAGGAAGAGGGGCCACCGUGAUGUGAUCUUGUGAAACAGGGAAGUAAAGAAAGAUAGAGACAUCGUCAUUUGUUGUCCAAUCCGAGAAAAACCAAAACGUUAAGGGGGGCGGCUUUAAAUGAAAAACAAAGGGGAGUGGAAGGGGACCUAAUCUUCAACUACUGGUUGAGUGAUAUAAUGUGGCUUGACCGAUGAGCCGUGGAAUGACGUGAGUGUCGUUGCUCACCUGCUAGUUGCUUCAACGACUCUAUGACCGGUAGCAGGGGGCAUUGGGACACGUGUCGUUUUUUAACAGUUGGCGUUUCAGAUAACUGUUAGGGGAGUUACAGCCUACGUGGUAGAUUGCAAAGAGUAAUGAAUCUAAUGAUAAACACACAUUGGAAAACUUUAGCUGGCAUGUAGUAAAUUAAUUUUUUAAUAAUCUUUAAGUAAAUUAAUUAUAUUAUUCCACCGUACAAUAAAUAUGGAGAGAAAAUUUUAAGAUAUAUACAACAAAUCAGAUUACAAAUUAACUAACGUUUUUAUAUGCAUUAAUUAAUGGACUAAUUACAAGCAUAUAAAUUUUAUGCUAGAUAAUGUACUAUAAAAUACAGAACUCUCUCUAAUGAGAUUGUUUCAAAAUUUAUCUGAUGUCAUUAUCAUUAUUUUAAUGAUUGGUAAAUAUAGCAACAUGGAUAAAAUAUAGGGCCAAUCUCAGAUAGCGGUGGUUGGUGAAAUAAACUAUUUUUACUGUACGGAUGAAAAAGACAAUCGAUUAAAAAAUUAAUUUAGUAUUUGAUAAGCUAUGGUGUUAUGAGUUUAAAAAAAACAAAGUACAUGUAUUUGGUAAGUUUUAUUCGAAAGAUUUGUUUUAUUAUAUAAUAACCAAAAUAAACAUAAGUUUAAAUUGCCUCUUAUUUUUCAGAGCAUGUUUAAUAAAUUGAGUCAAAAUGCCCUUUUUCUUUUUAAAACACAUAAAAUUAAUAAAGUGAAAAAACACAUAAAAUUACAUAAAGUGAAAAACUCAAUUAAAUAGAAUCUAAUGAAUUUCAUAAUUUAUUACAUAAAAUAUGAAAAAAAUCAUACUAAUACAAAAUCAAAAUAAAAUAUAAAGUAAUAUGCAUUACGUUCACCCUAAACUUGUCACAAUAAUAAUACUCAAAUUUUUAAUUUAAUAAGUUGCUUAUGAAAAGCAACUUUUUAUCUGUUUUUAAAAGUUGUUGUCAAAAUAAAGAAAAUCAUGAAAUAAGUAGUCUUUACAAAGUCUAUCAAAUACUAUUUGUUACAAAAAUUAUAAAAAAAACCGCUUAUUGAAUUUUAACCUUAAUCCCAAAUGGAGCUUAAUUACAUGAGAUUAUUGCUCAGAUUAUGACUCAUAUUACAUGAGAAUAAUGCUAAUAUAUUUAUAAUUAGAUAAUUACUAUGGCUAGUUUUACAUUAUUAAAUAUUAUAUAGUACUUCCAUAUCUUAACCUUCUUUAAUAUUCAAGAGACAUUUACUUCACUUACAUUUUUUUUUUAAAAAAAUUAUUUUCAUUUAGUUAUUUUCCAUAAUUGAGGAAUGAAUUAAACAUCGUGGGGCUCGAACAACUGAAUGGCUCUGCCGCACGAUAUAAAUUUUAAGCUCAAUCUCAAAUGGAACUUUAAUCUCAAUGAAAUGACGAUUUAUGAUUUGAAUUGAAGGGUCACAUGUGCAAUUAAUGUUGUUCCUUUUUUCUUUUUUUAAAUGUUAUGAUUGUAACGGUAGCUGCGAUACUAGAAAAAUGCCAAAUUACUCUUUGAAAUGAUACCGAAACACAACCGUUACAAAAAGACUCGUGAGUUCCUUUUCUAUGUUUUCAGAUAUUCUUUUCUUUUUUUAAUAUUCUGUUUUCCUAAUUCUGAAAAGGAAUUCAGGUGCAGUCCAGCCAGACUUCAGUUGAAACCUCAGGGAUAUUCGGGGACUUGAAUUUGAUGCCUACAAAAGGAAGAGAUAUUCACAUUGGUGAUUGGAGAAACAGGUUUCAGCUAGCCACUGCAAUUUGAUGAAAGCAUAUUUCCCAUAUGGAUGAUCAAAUCACCAUGGAUUUUCAAGCUGUAAUUUACUUGAUGAAAAUUUUACAGAAACCAGAUUUGUGAUUGAACUGAUUUUACACACAGAGCCAGAGAUACAACAGCACAGAAAAACAAACAAGGUAUCACAUGAAUUCUCACGGCAACAUUGAUUUCAUAAUUUCAUAUCGGCUUGCUAAAUUAUCACGAUCUGGAGGAGUAGAAUGCUUUCUCUACCUGAAUGGUAAGAAACAGAAUGCCAACCAAUGAGACACAGAUACCCACAACCAUAACAAUCAGCAUCGCCUGCAAUGAGAUAUAUGGACCGAUAAAGAAAACAACCGCAAUUGAAGCACACUGCCAGACCUUGAGCUGUGCAAAUGCUCCUUCCUGUUCCCAGAAGCAAUCUCUCUCAUAAUUAGAUAUUGAAAUCACAAUAACAAGAACUUAUAGGAGAGAUUACAAAUUAAAUAAAAAGAAAACAAUGACCUAAUUUAGGCUUCUUUUACUAAUCAGCAUAAAAACGAAUCAUGUAUAAACUUAUCCGUAAUCUGUUAAAUGAGGACGCCAACCAACAUAGUAGCUAAUUGGCUAAUUUAUAACACAAAAGAAAAGUCUCUCCUCCAUCUUGCAAGAAUUCUAGACCUAUAUACAAAGCAACCAUCUAAUACAGUAGGUGGAAUUUUCAUUUUUUUACAUUUUCUUUUCCUUUAUGAUUGGAUAUGGAAAAAUAUGAACCUAAUAGAAUAUGAUUUGCCAGGUAAAAUAAAAUAAGCAAGUUUGAUGCAGAAUAUUGCUGAUAUGACUAGUUUCAUCAUUGCCAUCGUAUCCUUGGGUGUUCCUGAAGAUUAUGAGGUAGACUGACUGACUAAAAGGAAAUUCAUAUUCAUAGUCACCUACCAAACAAGUAUUUGUCUUAUUAAAGUAGGAUUAGCUGUUACCGUAUCGUGCUUAAAGAGUAUCCCAAGCAAAGCACUAAGCUGUGUAUUGAGCACUCCAUCACCAAUGCCCAACAAAGCUGCCAUGAUAAGUGGAUAUAGAGUGCCAAGUACUCCACUAGUUACCCUAUAGGAAGACAGUGAAUCAAGGAGAUGGAAAAAUAUUAAUACAUUCAAGCUCACACUACUACAAAACAACCUUCAAGUUCUGAAAAACUUCAAUGUAACAGGAGUACACAACACAGUGUAACAGGAGUACACAACACUAACCUGUAAUUUAUCAGAAUCCAGAGAAAUACAACCACCUGAGCAAUAGCUCCACCAGAAACUAUAAAAGUGAUAGAUGGAAGACCAGUGGUAAGUCGACCAGCAGCAAGUGAACACUGAAAAAAGUGGCGAAACCAAGCAGAGACUGAAUCCAAUUAAUGGAUAUUUAUUUGCCAAAUUGACUCAAACAGAAAUGCAAACAGUACUUCAGCAUAAACAUUAAAUUACUUCCAAUAUACAGCAAAUGGAAGUAUGACAAUACUCAGCUUUACCGAAAACAGAAUCUUGGAACAAUUGCUUCGAGCAUCAAGGAGCUAUAUUUUGUGUUUAAAAUAUAUAUUCACAGUGAGUCAAUUGGUUGCAGGUAAAGGUUUGUGAUUGCAAGAGCACUCAAGACAUUGUUCUGAAGACACGAUGACCAAAACAAGAGCAUAUAGCACAGCGCAAGGCAUAAACAAUUGGCAAUGAGAAAAAGAUUCCUUUGGAACACAAAAAUUGCCAAGCUGUUCAUUGCAUGAAAUUGUGAAUUUCUGCAGUCUCAUACUUACUAUUGCAUCAAAAGCUCCAUAAACUGCCAUUGCACCACCUACACCAGAAACACCAAGUGCUGGAGUUACAAUCUCCUUUGUAAAUUCAGCCCUACAGAAGAAGACAUAGUGCGAUUAUUGGAGAAACUAAAUUAGAUAAUUGAACUAUAAAGAAUAAAAAUGUUAAUGAAAAGGCAAUACAAAGAACAGAUAUGAAGUUUAACUGAUUAUUACCAUACAAAUGCUUGUUGUAAUCCUGAAUAUGCAAAAAGGGGAAUGAUCAGUAGCAUCCGUACAUCAGCCAGAAGAGUGGUAAUUGACUUCGAUAAAGACACUAAGUACGAAUAGAAAUUUACAGAAGCAUCUGCUGUUUCCUUUUCUCCUUUAUCUUCCUCUUUACGUAAGAAGCACAUGAGUAUGGUGCCCAAUGUGAUAACGCCAAGAAACACAAUGAACAAUAAAGUGGUGCCACUGGUACUUCCACCCUGCAGUAUGUAAUGGAAAAUUAAUAGGAAGCAGUUUACAAAGGAAAUAAAAUAAGUUGCAAUGUCAGGCUUAAAAAGUUAAUCAUCUAGCAAAUUAUGUGCCAGAAUGUCUGUCUAAAUUAAACAUGUUCCUGAAUCAGUCUUGAUUGAGAAGGUCAGAUCUGUAACAAACAUCACAGCCGUACACAAUUAUGUUCAAAUGCUAACAUGAAUUUCCUCUAUGUUAAUCAGAAUAUCAUCUUCUUAUUGUCCAAAACCAAAAGCUUAACUAGAAGGGCAGCACAUGCCUUAUCGUCUUUGAGCACCGCAAGUGUGAUAAGAUUUCCAACAAACUGCCAAAAUUGGGAGGAAAAUGGUAUUCAACAUUAAGAACAGCGACGACAAAAUAAAAAAUCAUCAAUUAAAGAAAAUGCAUUUAGACUGAAAGAGCACCUGGUGGCUGGCAAACAUUCCCCAAAAUUCUCCAUUGAAGCUGCCAAUCACCGUUCCUUCAUGCAACUUGUGAUUGCUUGCAUGACUGAGUGCAGCGGAAGUGAGAUAUGUUCCCUAAUAGAUCAUAACAGAUUUCUAUCACUUUAGUUACUUCAUAGAAAAUUCCCAUUUGAGAAUAUUAUUAAAGAAGAGAAUCCAAAAACACCAUCCACACCUCUCCAACCCAUAUUAUAGAAGCAGCAAAUCCAAGAUACAACGAUGCCGGCACCAUAGUGUACCUUCAGAAAAAAUAAAUAAAUAAAUAAAGUUUUAGUGUUUUUUUUUUGGGGGGGACUGGGAAGUAAAAGUGAGUGUUUACUAAACUUAUUAGCUGGUGUGGUUUCAAAGUUAAGCAGAAGCACAACAGUUACGAACAUUGUCCUAAAUAACAUUUUAACUACUACAAAAUUUAAUCAAACGAUUAGGAUUCAUUGCUCGGUAGGGCAGAGGUCAGCUCAGUAUUAGAUCCAAAUUCUAAAUUGAAACAUAGACGUGAGGUGAGUGCACAGUACCACGAAGGGAACAAAUUGGCAGCCACGAAUAGCCAAUACCCAGUAGUCCCAAGGAUCAGAGCGUUCUUGGAACCCAACACUCGAACCACCAAUGAAGCAACUAGAGAGAAACACGUGAACGACGUGUACAAUAUCCCAAGCGAAAUCGUUCCCAAGUUCCCCUCCUGCAACAAAUAAAAAAUCAAUUUGUAAGCUCAAAAACUAGAAAGCGUCCAGGGGCAGGGGCAGGGGCAGCUACUCAACGGUAUUAACAGUAGUUUCUAAAUUCUGAGCAGCCCCAUAAGCGAGAAAAAUCAAAAGAAACGCGCAGCUGAGGAUGUGAACAUCACGCGUGUAGUUCUUUGGAGUAAGAACUUGCAAGCUAUCAGCAACAAGAGGUGCUUCUUCAUCGCGAGAAUCUACGGACUCCAUUUUUUUUCUUUUUUCCCCCCCUUUUUUUUCGCUUGGAGUUUCGAGAUCAAUCUGAUGGUGAAAUCGCUACAUAAUAUAUACGAGAAGCGAGUGAAGGUAGUACAAACGAGUGGGACCAAAAACACGGCGAGUGCCGGCUAGAAUCUUGUGUACUACAAGACAUGUAAAAGAGUUUUGGUUCAGAAAUUAAAUAAGUUCAUCGGAUUUUUAAAUGACUGAUUAAAUCGGUUCAGCGAUAAAAUAAGUUCAUCGGAUUUUUAAAUGUCGUUGUUUUUGAAAUUUGGAAGGAUUAUUUGGGAAUCAAACGGAGGGAGGGACGCUUUGAAAUAAUCGAAGCGUGGAAAGCCUUUUUAAGAGUAACAACCGACGGUUAAGAAAACGACGGCACAAUGGACGGUCGUUUUUUUAAUUUUUUAAAUGUAAAUAUUUAUAUUAAAAUAAAUUAUGAAUUAUUGUUUCUUUUGGUAGCCAUGAUAUUUUCUUGAAUCUCUUGAUUCUGGAAUCUGAUUUGGCCCUCGUUGAAACCAAGCGCUACGCAAUUGAUUCCUUUGAUAUAUAUAUAUAUUUUUGGUCAUUUUCAACGAUUUAUGGCCGUUCUAUGAUCAUAUAAUAAUAAUAAUAGUUUAAUUUCCAAGUUCGAAGUUAUUUUAUUUCAUUAUUUGGUGAAGGCCAACCUGACAAUGUUGACCCCAUAUAUAUAUAUAUAUUAUUUUUAUUUUAUUAUAUGUAUAUUUAACCACUAUAAAAUUUUAAUAUAAUAACAAGAAUACCUUUAAAAAUAUUUUAUCCUACAAAAUUUUUAAAAAUAAAAAAUUAUAAUAACAAGAAUACCUUUAAAUUUAAGAUAAAUAUAAAAAAUUCAUGAUGUUAAUUUUUAUAAUUAUAAUUUUUAAAUGAUAACUUUUGAAAUAAUUUUUUUAUUAAUCAAAGUUGGUUUAGACUAUUAUUACUUUGGUGAUUAAUUUAAACAAUGAAAAUCGAUUGAUAAUUGUAAUUGUAUGAUUGAUUAAAAAGAAAAAAAGAAAAAUAUUUGAGAUGAGUAUCACGCGUUUUUAAAGUCAAAAGGAUUAAAAAUAUAUAUAUAUAUAUAUUAUCAAUAAUUAAAUGGUACUCACACACCCAGUUUUUCAAGAUAUUUUAUCAACUAAUUAAAUGGUAGUUAUAAUUUUUUAUUUUCAAAAUUUUAUAGGAUAAAUACUUUUUAAUUCAUUUAAGAAUAAAAUGAUUAUUUUAUUUAGAUUAUUGGUGUUAAAGUAAUUAAUUGAUACAAGUUUAAAAACAAAAAUAAUGUAAAAAAUGUUAAAAUUUUAUGAUAAUUAAAUGUAUAUAUGAUAAAAUAGAAGUGGUAUAAAAAUAAUUUUCUAAAUGAAAAAUGUGAAUGAAUAUGAAUGAGUGCAUAUGAUGAGGGUAUCUCCUAUCAAAUUAUGUGGUUACAUUUUUUUUCCCCCAUUUUUUGAAGGGUCAAAUUAGUACAGACAUAAAUUUGACUUUUACUGAAAUAAAAUUUAAUUUAAAAAGAACAUGAUGCCUCCCUGAUUUCAGGAUUUUUUACCUAAUCAAGAAUGGUGAUUUAAAAGCUAUGAUUCAUGGUCAAGCCUGCCAAUUAUAUCAAUAAAUCUAAUAAGCCAAAUAGCCGAUCUUACAUUUCUAGAGAUUGGAAAAUUGACAUCAGUAACAGAAAUUGGAUACAGAAGUAAAUACCGUUCUGAGCUUAAAGCCAGAAAUAUAAACAACACCAACACUACCACGGUGUGCAGGUCAUGCCCCGAGCACCAAUUGAGCAAACUCAAAAUUUUUUUCAUUUCUUUCAUUAUGUCUGCUCUGCAUCAACAUCCCGAGAGUUCUCUUUGAGAAAACGUUCAAUACCAAACUUCAUAUAAGCAACGAGGGAGGAAAAUAUGUGGCUUCUGUCCAUUCCACUAGUAAGUCAGUCAACACUAAAAAUAUUUUGAUCUUGACCGGAAAGUUUUUCUGGGCAUCCGACUAUCCAAGAUGUCACCGAAAGUGGCCAAUGCAUCUUGAAACUUCCGGAUUUUGAGAAAUCCCCUUACCAUUGAAGUUUCUCGGUCUGAGAAUUUUGCUUUAUCCAUGACCAUAUCAAUAAGCUCAACCAAAGUUUCCUCCUUCCCUAAAGAAACAAGUCCUUCAGCCAACAUGUAGAAUGAUGAGAACUCUGGGAGAAAUCCUCUCCCUAACAUCUCUAUCACAAAAUCAACGGCUUCUCCAAUUGGUCCUCCACCAUUACAGAGCCCACGGAAAACAUGCUUGUAGGUAAGAGCAUCAGGAGGAUCAGCCUUCUCCAUCAUUUCUCGGAAAAGCCUCAUAGCUUCGGUUGUUCUUUUUCGUCUAAAGAGAGCUUGAAUCACAGGGUUAUAAGCUUGUGGAGUCAAAACAAUUCCUUUCAUCUGAAUUGACCUCAAGAGUUUACUUGCAACCUCAACUCUACCAGCCUUACACAGCCCCCCAAUUAAGGUUCCAUACGUAACAAUAUCUGGUUCACACCCAUUUGAAGUCAUAUUUUGGACAAUAUCUGCAGCCCUUUUUAUGUCGCCCGCCCGACAGUAGUAGGUAAGAAGGGAAUUGUAGGUAAAUUUAUCAGGUUUUAACCCUUCCAUUAUCAUCUGGUCCAUAAGCUGAGCAGCAUCUUCCACCCUCCUGCUCUUACAAAGACCAUCGAUAAGGGUGUUGUAGGUCACAGAAUUUCGUGAAAUCCCUUGGAUUUCCAUCUCAUCAAAGAUCUCCUCUGCUUCUUCAAUUCUUUUGAGUUUGCAAAACCCAUCAAUCAAAGUAUUAUAUGUCACCACAUUCCUUGCGCAGCCACUUGAUUCCAUUUCUUUUAACAGUUUUAGAGCUUCCUCCAGCAUCCCUCUAGAACAAAGGCUGUCUAUCAACAUAUUGUAAGUAAAUUCAUCAGGUUGGCACCCUUUAGUCUUCAUCUCCUGAAACAAUUCCAUUGCUAAAUCAAAAUUACUAGUCAAGCAGAGACCUUGUAUCAGAGAAUUGAAUGUACAAACAUCAGGCAAAAUUCCCUUGCUUGUGAGGACACGAGCAAGUUCCGUAGCUUCUUCAACUUGGUUCUCCUUGCACAAGGUGCUAAUCAGAGUAUUAUAAGUAAUGGUAUUAGGCGAACAAUCCCUCAAAAUCAUCUGAUUGAGAAUCUCCACAGCCUCCUCAACUUCACCCAAUUUACACAAUCCAGAAAUCAAAGAAUUAUAUGUAAAAACAUCAGGAUCAAACCCCUCUUGAAGCAUCAUGUCCAUGACCUCCAACGCUUGCUUGACAUGUCCCACUUUGCAUAAACCAUUCACCAAAGUAUUGUACGUAAACUGAUCAGGAUUAAAUCCUUCACUCACCAUCUCUUGUAUAAAACUUAACGCAUCCUCAAUCCUUCCCUCUUUACAAAACCCAUGAACUAAAACAUUAACAGUCACAUUAGUAACCAGGCAUCCGUGCUCCACCAUUUGCUCUCUAAUCCUCAACGCACCAUCCAAGUUACCUUCCUCAAUCAACCCUUGCAUUAACGUCGUAAACGUUCUCUCAUCUGGGGCCAAACCAUAGCCAGGCAUCUCUUCCAUCAUCAAAAUAGCAGGCCUAAUUUGAUGAGCCUUACAUAAAGCCUUAAUCAAUAUAUUAAAUGUAGAAACAUCAGGCUUAAUCCCUCUACUAACCAUAUCAGCAUGAGCAGUUUCAACUAGUUUUAACUUAUUCCCAUCAACAAGAACAUUCAACAAGUGAUUAUAAAAGUGGGUGUUGGGUUCCAAUCCAAAAUCGUCCUUCAUCAACUGGGUUACUUCUAAAAUCUCAUUGUACAUGUCAAAUUUAGCAUAACUUUCUACGAAAAUCAAGAAAGUACCUGUACGAAUUUGACAGCCGGAGAGUUUCAUAUCUUCUAAAAUGCGUCUCAUGGAAUCAAAAGCGCCGACCUUUCCGAGUUUGGUCAGUAGUUCUUCGUAGAGAGAGGAAUUGGGUGCGAAAUUGGGCUGCUUAGAGGCCCAAGUGAACAAGCGGAGUGCUGAGGACUCGUCGCGUUGGCGACGGAGAGCGUCGAGGAGUUGAGUUGAAGUGAAAUUGGAAGGGAGUUGACGAGAGAAAGUGGAAGAUGAAGAUGAUAGUGAGGUGAGUUGCUGAUGGUCAUGGUGUUGUGUGGAGGCAAAAGAAAUGGUGGUGGGUUUGGAAGAUAAAGGGAGGAGGGAUUGUCGUGGGAGAGGCCAAGGGUGACUCUUGAGACACGAAGAGAGUGACAUUUCAGGGGAUUUGACGGAGAUUGAACAUGAAAAUUUGGAAAAGAAAGUUUCUUUCUUUCAGGAAUGAGCUAGUGAGCUGCAGCUGGAGUGAAAACAACUGGAUUUUCCUUUUUCUUUUUUUCUUUUUUUUUUUUUUCCCUUGAAGGUCGUUUCGUUUCCGGGCGGUUUUCUGCCAAUUGCAUAAACCAACCCUGAAUCCUUAACUUAGGCGGCUGAGGAGAUGCCAACGACGUCGUUAGCAGUGUUUUAAAAGCCUACCAACCAAAACGCUACGUUUGUUUCCAGGGGCGAUGGUUUAACUAUUUUGGACAGUUUAAUCUUCGGGGCCCAAUAUUUGGGUCCAACUAACCCCUGCAUCCACUGUGAGUUAUUGGGCCCUUACCCAACCCAAUGUUAAACAUUUUCACAUCUUCUUGAGGUUCCCCCCGGAGUCACACCCUGUGUCCCUGUCUGAAAUUAUAGUACGGUAGAAUUUUAAUAAAUUAAAGCUCAAUAAAUUGAUAAUCUCGAUAUAAAUAAUAAUUUUAUCGAUCCCAAGCUAAUAUGGUAAUUAAUAAUUUGAUAAAUUUAUUAUAUAAUAAAAUUUUAAAAAAUUUUUUAUUUUUCUAUAAGACCCAACUAAUAUAAAAAUUAAUAACGAAUUAAUUUAAAAAUAAAUACGUAUGAUAUGUUUAUGAUUUUCUUUGUUAUAAUGACAUAAUGCUUCACAUAUUUCAUUGGUUAUUGUUAUAUUCUAUGUGCUACAUUGGUUAUUGUUGUAUUCUAUAUGCCAUGUUAAGAAAAAUAAGAGAGAGAUUAGUUAAUAUGUCACCUCCAAAUAGUCUUCUCCGAUGAGUUACUGAAUAAUUGCUAUCCAGCCAUGCAAUUGUUAGCCUAUAUGGCUAUAAAUAUUGAUUUUGAUGAUAACAAACCACAUGUAUUUAUUAAGUGAAGAUUUAUGAAUUGUGCUUUUAUAAUAAGAAAAUGAUGUUAUGGAAUUAAAGCAUUUUGGAUUAAAAUGAAAGUAAUUUCAAAAUCUUUGAUAGUGUUUAAAUUUCGGAUUUGGACCUAUUUGAAACUAUUUAAAUGUUUUUGGGUCAUUCUAUAAUUUCACAAAGUUUGGGAGAAAUCAUAAUUUCAGAAAGUUUUGGGAUUAACGAAGCAUUACUUAGAAGUUCUGAAAUUGGACUUAUUUGCAAAGUUUCAUAACAUUUUGGGUCAUACUAUAGUUUUAUAAAGUUUUAGGGUCAAACUGAAAAUUUGAGAAAUAUUUCACUGUAGUAGGUUACUGUAGCAAGCGGCUAUCCGGAUUUUGAAAACCGGAAAUCCGGAUACGGGCAGUAAGCGUCCAGAACGAAAACAGCUUAUCGGAUUCCGUAACCGGCAAGCCGGAUAGGCAAAAUUCAAAUUUUUGCCUUAACGGUAACAUAAAUUCGGCUUACCGGAUUCCAUAAACGGUAAACCGGAUACGCCUGGAAUGUGAGUAACGACUAGUUUUUGAGCUCAAACUAUAAGAACUCAAAUCCAACUCAUUUUGAAGCUCUCCAACAAGUAAAAACAAAAAGCACACGAGAUAUCUUGAGCCUUCAAACUUGCAAACUACAUACAUUGAAUCAUUCAUUGUUCUUCAUCUUUGAAUAUCUACUCAUUGAGUGAGUUUCAUUGUAACUUUCAUUUCUUCAUUUCAAUUGUAAGAAUUUGAGUGUGUGAGACACUUGAGUGAAGAGAUUGGGAGAUAAUUUCUUCGUUGUAAAGGUUUAUUGACACCUUGAAGUCAAUUGUAAUCGGUUGAAGUCUCGAAAAGGCUUGGAUAGUGAAAUCCUCAAGCUUGGAUUGCUUGGAGGCGUGGACGUAGGCGGAGAUUACCGAACCACGUAAAAAUCCAUGUGUUUGUUUCUCUUCUCCUUUACUCUUUAAUUAUUGUGCCUUUAUUAAACUUAUUACUUUCAAUUUUUAUUAAGGCAUUAGAUUGUUUGUUGUGUGGAUUUGCUAGGAUAAUUUUUAAAUUUCCAAUUCACCCCCCCUCUUAGGUUGCACGCUUAUAUUUCAUUUGGUAUCAGAGCAAGGUGCUCUUAUUUAGAUUUAACAAUCUAGAGCUAAAGAUCAAUGGCAACUCAAAAUGAUUCCACAUUUAGGGAAGGGCAGUCCACUACUAAACCACCUUACUUUGAUGGAAACGAUUACCCAUAUUGGAAAACUAGGAUGAGAAUUUACUUGUAAGCCUUAGAUUAUGAGAUUUGAGAAAUCGUUAAUGAUGGUCCUUUCAUGCCUUUGACUAAAAAUGAAGUAGAAGAAGAUAUUCCAAAACCUUCACGGGAUUGGAAUGAUUUCGAAAAGAGAAAAGCUUCUCUAAAUUCCAAGGCUAUGAAUACCUUGUUUUGUGCUUUAGAUAAGAAAGAGUUUCAUAGAGUGUCUAGUUGCGAAAGUGCUAAUGAGAUUUGGCACAAACUUGAGGUUGUCUAUGAAGGCACGAACCAAGUGAAAGAAUCUAAAAUAAGUAGGUACACUCGACAAUACGAAUUGUUCUAAAUGAACAAAAUGAAAAUGUGUACUCUAUGUAUACUAGAUUCACGGACAUAGUGAACACUCUAGGAGCCCUAGGAAAGACUUUUUCAAAUAGCGAAAAAGUCAAGAAAAUCAUUAGGUCACUACCUAAGGAAUGGAGACAAAAAAGGACUGCCAUUGAGGAAGCCAAUGAUUUAAAUAUAUUACCUAUUGAUGAUUUAAUUGGCUCUCUUAUUUCAUAUGAAGAAGAUUUGGCAGCUGAAAAAGUGCAUGAGGAAAAGAAGAAAAACAUUGCUCUGAAGGCUUCAAAACAUGAGAGUGAUGAGGAAAGCGAAAUAAAUGAUGAGGAGCUGGCUAUGUUGGCUAGAAGAUUCAGAAAAUUUUACAAAAAGAACAAUGAGUAGAGAAAGUUCAGAGGCUACAAGAAUAAGAAGGAAUAGAAUGAGCCAAUCAUUUGUUAUGAAUGCAAGAAGCCCGGACACAUACGACCGGAAUGUCCUCUUCUCAACAAAUUCAAGAAAAAGGCUAUGGUGGCCACAUGGGAUGAUAGUGAUGAGGAAACAAGUGACGAUGAUGAGCAAUAAGAAAUGACAAACUUAGCUCUUAUGGCUAUUGGGAAAGAAUCAUGUGAUGAACUUGAUGAGGUAAGUGUUCUUCCUACAUAUGAUGAAUUGCAUGAUGCUUUUAAGGAUUUCCAUGAUGAGCUAAUGAAGAUUGGUAAAAAGAAUAUAUGUCUUAAAAAGAAGAUGAUAGAGCUUAAGAAUGAAAAUGAUUCAUUUAGUGCAAAGAUUACAUGCCUAGAAUUAUAAAAUAAAACAUUGCGUGAUAGUAUUGCAUUAUUUGAGAAUUCUAGCACCUCACAUGAGCACUUAGAGUCACACAUGAAUGACUUGAAAAAUGAGAAUGAAAUGCUUAGAAAGAAGAGCAAUGAACUAAAUGAAAUUGUGCUAAAAUUCACAAAUGGGCAAAAGAUGUUGGACAAUUUGCUAAACUCACAAAAGUGUAUAUUUGACAAAAGUGGCAUAGGUUAUAAACCGAAUUUGAAACAAAAAUUUUACAAGAGUUAUUUUAUGAAGAAUACAUUUAUUAACAGUAAAAUUGUAUGUCAUUAUUGCAAUCAAGAUGGCCAUAUGAAAAAUAGAUGUGCAGUGAAGAGAAAUGCAUAUUAUGGUAUGAAAUGUGUUUGGGUUCCGAAAGGAACCCUUGCUAACUCUCAAGGACCCAAAAAGGUUUGAGUACCUAAAACUUGAGAUUUUUUCUACAGGGCUCAAAAAAGAAGAAGAAUAAGUUGUACUUAGUCAGCGGUUGUUCAAGACACAUGAUAGGGAAUUAUUCUUGGUUUUCAAGCUUUACUAAGAUCGAAAAUGGUGGAGAUGUUUCAUUUGGGGAUAAUUCAAAAGGAAAAAUCAUUGGGAUUGGAAAUGUAGGUAAUGUAUCCUCUACUCUCAUUGAAAAUAUGUGUUUGGUUGAAAACUUGAAACACAAUUUGCCUAGUAUUAGUCAAUUAUGUGAUAAAAGAUAUAGAGUUAUUUUUUAUGAAUCAAAGUGUGUUAUUGAGAAUGCAUGUGAUGGGAAAGUCUUGUUUGUAGGAAAUAGAUGUGUUAAUGUUUAUACCAUUAAUAUAGAUUGUGCAUCAACAAAUAAGAAAUGUCUCUCCGCAUUGCAUAAUGAUGGUUGGUUGUGGCAUAGAAGAUUAGGUCAUGCAAGCAUGGAUUUAAUUUCAAAAUCGUGAAAAAUGAUUUAGUAAAAGGUCUUCCAAAAAUCAAUUUUAAAAAAGAUAGAACUUGUGAAGCAUGCCAAUUUGGAAAACAAAUCAAAACUUCCUUUAAAAGCAAGAAUCGUGUCUCCACUUCAAAACCACUUCAAUUGCUUCAUAUAAAUUUAUUUGGACCUUCUAGAUAUGCUAGUUUAAGUUGCAAAUUUUAUGCAUUUGUAAUUGUGGAUGAUUAUUCUAGAUACACAUGGGUAUUGUUCUUGGCUAAUAAGGAUGAUGCCAUUGAUGCAUUUUGAAUUUUCUAUAAAAAGGUUCAAAAUGAAAAAAGUUAUUAUAUUUCUUGUAUUAGAAGUGAUCAUGGUGGAGAAUUUAAAAAUCAUGCAUUUGAAAAUUUUUGUAAUGAUUUUGGCAUUGAACAUUAAUUUUCAUCACCUAGGACUCCACAACAAAAUGUAGUAGAGAGAAAGAAUAGGUCUAUUCAAGAAAUGGCUAGGACCAUGUUGAAUGAAAACUCUUUGCCUAAGUAUUUUUUGGCUGAAGCCGUCAACACCGCUUGUUAUGUUUUAAAUCGGGUGUUGAUUAGACCUAAUCUUAAUAAAACUCCAUAUGAGCUUUGGAAAGAUAGAAAACCCAACAUUGGUUAUUUUAAAGUUUUUUGAUGCAAAUGUUUUGUUUUGAACACAAAAGAUAAUCUUGGUAAAUUUGAUCCAAAAUCUGAUGUUGGCAUUUUUCUUGGUUAUUCAAAUUCAAACAAAGCUUAUAGAGUUUAUAAUAAAAAAAACUUUAGUUGUGGAAGAAUCUAUGCAUGUUACAUUUGAUGAGUCUAACCCCUCCUCUACGGAGAAAGUUGUUGUUGAUGAUAAUGCAGAAGAAGAACAACAAGAAGAAGCAUUGAAUGACAACCAAGAAGAUGCGCCCCGUGGAAUUGAAGAGGAACAUCAUGAAGAAACAAAUGCAGUGCAAAAUGAAGGUACUUCACAAACACUCCCCAAGGAGUGGAGGUAUAUAUCCUCUCACCCUAAAGAUGUAAUUUUAGAAGAUCCCUCAUGAGGUGUUACCACUAGGUCAUCCCUUAGAAACACAUGUGAGCAUGCUGCAUUUAUUUCUCAAAUUAAACCAAAAUCCUUUGCGGAUGCAGAAAACGAUAAAUCUUGGAUUAUGGCAAUGCAAGAGGAGUUGAAUCAAUUUGAGAGAAACAAUAUGUGGGAGUUAGUUCCUAAUCCGGAACAUCAAUCCAUUAUAGGUACUAAAUGGGUAUUUAGAAACAAAAUGGAUGAAUCCGGUGUGGUUGUAAAAAAUAAAGCUAGAUUAGUGGCUCAAUGUUACAACCAAGAGUGGAGGUAUGUAUCCUCUCACCCUAAGGAUGUAAUUUUAGGAGAUCUCUCACGAGGUGUUACCACUAGGUCAUCCCUUAGAAACACAUGUGAGCAUGCUGCAUUUAUUUAUCAAAUUGAAGCAAAAUCCUUAGCGGAUGUGGAAAACGAUGAAUCUUAGAUUAUGGCAGUGCAAGAGGAGUUGAAUCAAUUUGAGAGAAACAAUGUGUGGGAGUUAGUUCCUAAUCCGGAACAUCAAUCCAUUAUAGGUACUAAAUUGGUAUUUAGAAACAAAAUGGAUGAAUCCGGUGUGGUUGUAAAAAAUAAAGCUAGGUUAGUGGCUUAAGGUUACAACCAAGAAGAAUGAAUUGAUUUUUAUGAAACUUUUGCACUUGUAGUAAGGUUAGAAUCCAUUAGGAUGUUGUUAGCAUAUGCAUGUCAUAAGGAUUUUAUUUUAUAUCAAAUGGAUGUCAAGAGUGCUUUCUUAAAUGGAUAUAUUAUGGAGGAAGUCUAUGUGAAACAACCUCAUAGUUUUGAAAAUGAAAAAUUUUCAGAUCAUAUGUAUAAGUUAUCCAAGCCUUUGUAUGGUUUAAAACAAGCACCUAGAGCUUGGUAUGAUAGGCUUAAAAAUUUCUUGUUAGAUAACGAUUUUUCAAUGGGAAAAGUGGACACUACUCUUUUUGUUAAGCAUAAGAACCAAGACAUACUUAUUGUUCAAAUUUAUGUUGAUGACAUUAUUUUUGGUUCUACUAAUGAGUUGUUGUGUAACGAUUUUUUAUCAUGUAUGAGCCAAGAAUUUGAGAUGAGUAUGAUGGGAGAGUUGAAUUACUUCCUUGGACUUCAAAUCAAACAAAAUGAGGAAGGAAUUUUCAUAAACCAAGCCAAGUACGUGAAAGAUCCACUCAAAAGAUUUGGCUAUGAUAAUGGAAUGGCAAAAAGCACUCCUAUGAGUACUACUAUCAAGCUGGACAAAGAUGAGAAAGGUAAGGAAGUUGAUAUCAAGACAUAUCGAGGUAUGAUCAGAUCCUUACUCUACUUGACUGCUAGUAGGCCUGAUAUUAUGUUUAGUGUUUACUUGUGUGCUAGAUUUCAAUCUUGUCCUAAAGAGUCUCACAUGCUUGCUGUCAAACGCAUUUUUCGAUAUUUAAUUGGCACUAUUAAUCUUGGCCUUUGGUAUCCUAAAGGAAUUCAUAUUGAUUUAACUUGUUAUUCGGAUGCCAAUUUUGCUGGGUAUAAGGUUGAUAGAAAAAGUACUAGUGGAACAUGUCACUUCCUAAGCCAUUCUCUUGUCUCUUGGUUUAGUAAGAAACAAAACUCGGUUGCGCUUUCAACCACCGAGGUAGAAUAUAUUGCCGCAGGUAGUUGUUGUGCACAAAUUCUAUGGAUGAAACAAACUCUUAGAGAUUAUGGUAUUAAGCUUGAUCAAAUUCAUAUCUUAUGUGACAAUACUAGUGCUAUAAAUCUCUAUAAGAAUCCUAUUCAACAUUCUAGGACUAAGCAUAUAGAAAUUAGACAUCAUUUCCUUAGAGAUUUUGUUCAAAAAGGAGAUGUGGUAAUUAAAUUUGUUUCCACUGAAAAAUCAACUUGCGGAUAUAUUUACAAAACCUCUUAGCGAAGAGCAUUUUAUAAAGAUAAGACAUGAGCUUGGAAUGAUGAAUAUUGAAUCUUAAUUCAUGUUUUACUACAUGGCUUGAUAUGUUUGUUAUCAUAUGGAUUUAUGCUUUAUGAAUUAGACAACUUGAUAUGCUUGUAAAUUUAUGAUUUUAUGAUUUGUUUUUCAUGUAUUAAAUGACUUUAUUGAAAAAUUUUAAGUCUCAAAAUGAUUUAAAAUUAAUCAAUUUUUAAGGCCGGAAAUGAAAUAGUGUGUGUAGUACAAGUAUAAGAGCUAGUAAAUAUUCCAUUUCCAUUCAUCUGGAAAAACAUUUUUUUUUAUUGAUCUCUCUCGGGACAAAUUUCGGAUAACCGGAUUCUCAAUCCGAAAAAUCGAAUUAGCUUUGGUUGCUCUCGAGACAAUAUUCGGACAACCGGAUUUGCUAAGCUUCAUCUCUGCCUCAUAACUGGUCUACAGGAUCUUCAAUCUGGAAAACCGAAUUUGGAAGCCAACUCUCUGCCUCACAACCGGUCUACCGGUUAGCAAAACCGGAAAGCCGAAUUCGCGUGCAUGCUUUCUGGAACAACACCGGAUUUCCGGUUCAAGACAAUCCGGAAAACCGGAUUUUUGGAGGCUCUCGAAACCGGCCAGUCGGUUAAGGAAACCGGCAAGCCGAAUUGCCUCUUGCGGCUCUCGGGUCUAUAUCCGGUUUACCAGAUUUCAAAUUCGGAAAGCCGGUUUCGGAUUUCUCCAAUUCUACUCGCUAACCGGCUUACCGGUUAGAAAAUCCAGCAAGCCGGAUACGUGACCCUUUUAAGUUGUUCAUCCUCUUCCUCAUGCAUUCGGAAAACCAGUUCUUUAUCUCUCUAAAAACCAUUCUCAUUCUCUCUCUUUUUCACUCCAAAAUCCUUCAUUUUCUAUCCUUUUCACAUCAAAUUGAAUCUAAAAAAUCAUUCUCCAUCUCAUUAAGAACUCAAAACCAUCCUUGGAAUUCAUUUUGAACAUCUAAAUCUUUAGAUCCCAUUUUUAACCUAAGUUUUGAGCCAUUUUUUUCUCUCUCUAGAUUUCUCUCUCUCAAGUCGUUUUUGAUCCAAUUUUCUUCUCCAAAUCACUCUCAAUCUUCAUCAUCAUCAUUCUCCUUAUCCUUUUUAACUCAAAAUCAACCAAAUCUAAAUGUCAAGCUCUCGGUCGGUUUGAAGAAAAGGCAAAGAACCGGUUCAACCAUCCACACGGCCACGAGAAGCAAGGGGCACCUCCAGUCAAUCCACCUUUAAGUCCAUUCAUUUUCAGAACAAGCAACACUUGAUCAAAAGGUUCCAACAAAACUUUCGGACUUGUAAAGUACUCAACACUUUCUUUAUUUUACCGGAUGUUUUGCAUACUCUCCAGAUUAGUCAUAGAAAUCUAUUUCAAUUGUUGGGAGAUGUUGGUUGGAUUGAUGCAUUGUUGAUUGAGGAGAAUGUGUAUCCCGACUUGGUGAAAGUAUUUUACUCGAAUAUGGAUUGUUCCGCGGAGAAAGAAAAUCGAGUAAUCACCACAGUUGGAGGAGUUUUGAUUGAAUUUGAUGAUUCGGAGUUGAACUCCAUCCUAGGAUCUUCCGAUGAUGGACUGGACAUUUUUUCUCUUAGGAAACCUCCUGAUAUUGAUGACUAUGUUCAUGUUGAUGCCAUUCGUAAUAUUUAUCGGUGUAAUGAUCUUUCUGUUAAAGACUGUACCAUUCAUUUCCGUACUCAGUGUCUUUGUCUUCAAACUUAUUUUUUACUUCGUACCAUCCGGUCCAUUGUACUUCUUAGAUCAGGACAUUUGGAUGAGGUUUCUCAUAUGGAUGUGGCCAUGAUUGACUGUAUUCUUAGAGGUCGCCCGGUUGACUUGGGCUAUUCAAUUAUCCGCACCAUGUUGAGCAUUCCUGCCUUGAUUACCCGCUCUCUUCCUUAUGGUCACUUUAUUACCCGAAUUCUUAAAUUCUUUGAAGUGCCGAUUCUAGAACUAUCUUGUAGGCCGUCCAAGGGUAUUGGGGAUGAGGUUAUUGUUGGAUUAGGCUUUGAGUGGAAGGAUGGCACUUGGGUCAAAUACAACGAUAACAAGUUUACCUUUCUAGCCCCAAGUGAUGAUCGGCCACUUAAUGCUGUGAUUCCAACUGAUCAGCUUCCAGUAUUCUCACUCUCUUUUCGAGGGCAACGUAGACGCCAAGUUUCUUCUACGGUUGCUUCGGCUCCUAGUGCAUCUGCAUCCGUUUCAUCACCUCCACGGCCUCCUAUCUCUGGAGAUGUUACUCUUCAGCAGCUUAUGGAUGAGGUGCGGAUACUUUCGGUGCGGCAGACUGAGCUUCAGCAGGAGCAGCAGCAGCAGUAGCUCAUUCAUGGACAACGCCUCCUCUUUUAGCACUUCGGCAUUCCAUAUUCGUUUCCACCUCCGUCACCUCCAUCCUCACCACCUGAGUAGUAUCUUAUGCUUGUACUUGGACACACAUACAUUUCAUUUACUGCAUUGUGUGUUCUUUUAUUUUCAACUCUAUGGAUGGUUAUUAUGCUUUUUGGUUUAUGCAUUUGUUUUGGAUGAUAUGGAUUUGUUGUGACUAUUUAUGUUGGAUGUUAUGGAUUUGUUUUGAUUGAUCAUUAUGGAUUAUAUGGAUUUUCUUAUGCUUAUGGAUAUUUUUUUUACUAAUGUGCUUAUGUUGCGAUUUUGAUGAUUGAUAGGGGGAGCCUUUAUUCUUUUUGAUAAUGAAGGGGGAGAAUGAUUUAAUAUGUGUUAUGAAAAUAUGCAUGUAUUUAGGGGGAACAUGUAUGCAGGGGGAGUUUUUGUUAAACAAUUUUCAAAUCAUUUUUUUUAACUUGCAUUGAUUAAGGGGGAGCUUUUUCAUAACAAGAUUAAAGUUUUUAAUGUGUUUUGUCAUCAUAAAAAAUGAGGAGAUUGUUAGCCUAUAUGGCUAUAAAUAUUGAUUUUGAUGAUAACAAACCACAUGUAUUUAUUAAGUAAAGAUUUAUGAAUUGUGCUUUUAUAAUAAGAAAAUGAUGUUAUGGAAUUAAAGCAUUUUGGACUAAAAUGAAAGUAAUUUCAAAAUCUUUGAUAGUGUUUUAAAUUUCGGAUUUGGACCUAUUUGAAACUAUUUAAAUAUUUUUGGGUCAUUCUAUAAUUUCACAAAGUUUAGGCAAAAUCAUAAUUUUAAAAAGUUUUGGGAUUAACGAAGCAUUACUUAGAAAUUCUGAAAUUGGACUUAUUUGUAAAGUUUCAUAACGUUUUGGGCCAUACUACAGUUUUAUAAAGUUUUGGGGUCAAACUAAAAAUUUGAGAAAUAUUUCAUUGUAGCAGGUUACUGUAGCAAGCGGCUAUCCGGAUUCUGAAAACUGAAAAUCUGGAUACGGGCAGUAAGCAUCCAGAACGCAAACGGCUUACCGGAUUCCGUAACCGGCAAGCCGGAUAGGCAAAAUUCAAAUUUUUGCCUUAACGGUAACAUAAAUCCGGCCUAUCGGAUUUCAUAAACGGCAAACCGAAUACGCCUGGAACGUGAGUAACAGCUAGUUUUUGAGCUCAAACUAUAAGAACUCAAAUCCAACUCAUUUUGAAGCUCUCCAACAAGCAAAAACAAAAAGCACACGAGAUAUCUUGAGCCUUCAAACUUGCAAACUACAUACAUUGAAUCAUUCAUUGUUCUUCAUCUUUGAAUAUCUACUAAUUGAGUGAGUUUUAUUGUAACUUUCAUUUCUUUAUUUCAAUUGUAAGAAUUUGAGUGUGUGAGACACUUGAGUGAAGAGAUUAGGAGAAAUCAUAAUUUGGGCGAAAUCAUAAUUUCAAAAAGUUUUGGGAUUAACGAAGCAUUACUUAGAAAUUCUGAAAUUGGACUUAUUUAUAAAGUUUCAUAACGUUUUGGGCCAUACUAUAAUUUUAUAAAGUUUUGGGGUCAAAUUGAAAAUUUGAGAAAUAUUUCAUUGUAGCAGGUUACUGUAGCAAGCGGCUAUCCGGAUUCUGAAAACUGAAAAUCCGGAUACGGGCAGUAAGCGUUUAGAACGAAAACGGCUUAUUGGAUUCCGUAACCUGCAAGCCGGAUAGGCAAAAUUCAAAUUUUUGCCUUAACGGUAACAUAAAUCCGGCUUACCGGAUUCCAUAAACGGCAAAUCGAAUACGCCUGGAACGUGAGUAACAGCUAGUUUUUGAACUCAAAUCCAACUCAAUUUGAAGCUCUCCAACAAGCAAAAACAAAAAGCACACGAGAUAUCUUGAGCCUUCAAACUUGCAAACUACAUACAUUGAAUCAUUCAUUGUUCUUCAUCUUUGAAUAUCUACUCAUUGAGUAAGUUUUAUUGUAACUUUCAUUUCUUUAUUUCAAUUGUAAGAAUUGGAGUGUGUGAGACACUUGAGUGAAGAGAUUGGGAGAUAAUUUGUUCGUUGUAAAGGUUUAUUGACACCUCAAAGUCAAUUGUAAUCGGUUGAAGCCUCGGAAAGGCUUGAAUAGUGAAAUCCUCAAGCUUGGAUUGCUUGGAGGCGUGGACGUAGGCGGGGAUUGCCGAACCACGUAAAAAUCUGUGUGUUUGUUUCUCUUCUCUCUUACUCUUUAAUUAUUGUGCCUUUAUUAAACUUAUUGCUUUCAAUUUUUAUUAAGACAUUAGAUUGUUUGUGUGUGGAUUUGCUAAAAUAAUUUUUAAAUUUCCAAUUCACCCCCCCUCUUGGGUUGCACACUUAUAUUUCAGCAAUCUAGUGAAAAGAAUAUCAUAUGAUUGUUUCUUUCAAUUAAGAUAAAAUCAAAAUCAUAUCAUAUAGUUUGACAGAAUCACUGUAUUAUUUAAUUAUACUAUCAUACUUGAUAAAAGCUUAUAUUAUGAGCCUGAUAUUAUCUUUAAAUAUUAAAAUAUUAUUAAUUUAUCGAUAUAUUAAUAUUUACUCAAUUUAUGAGGUUAUAAUGUAUUUAUACUUUUCUCGUAUCAUAUCCCGCAAAAUCUAAAAAAAGUAUCUUAAGAGUAAUUGUAGAAAUCGCACUAAAUUAUUUAUUAAUCACAUCGGUUGUCACAUAAAUUGAAAUUCAAGAGUUUAGACUCCGCAUAAGAGUUAAGACUUAAAUACUGAGACCCUAACAUAUUACUGGAAUGAAUUAUUAUCGAUAGACCUAUGAGUCAACAUAAUCUUAUCAAAUAGACAACUAGAAUGUUGAGGAAACGAAGUACAUAGAAAUCGAAAUGCGUAGUUAUAAUUAAUUAACCAGCCAUAACUUCGGGAACCAACGAAUAUGUAUUGGAAGGCCGCGGGAGAUUAACAAAAGUUCGCUUCCCACACCGUGCUAGAAUAAACAUAGUACUUUCCUUUUCCAAUGCACCAAACAUUAAGCAGUUAGCAAACGUUGCAUUGAAUGUGCAUUUGCUUGUAUUUACUUGCAAAAGUUUUGCUCUUAUCAAUAACACCUAGAUUGCAUUGUGCACAUGAUACUCAUGUCUGUAAAUUAGCUGUAACGAAUUGGUACGAACUUAUGAGCCUUCAGCACUAGAGAAAUUUUAGAAUAUAUCAAAAAUAUCUUGCUGAUAACUCUAUAAAAUGAGAGUUAUCCUGACACUAUUAGACUUAAAUCAAGAUUACUUAGAGAGUAAGUGAUAUUUUUUUAAUUGCAUUUUAGUUAUAUUUAGCAUGAAUAUCCAUUUUAGUUUAUUUUUAAUAAAUUACGUUGUUUUAUAAUAAUUUGUGUGCUUAGAUCGUAUGUAUAAUUGUAGGUGAUCGGAAACUCAAAUUUCAAGGGAGGAAUGCUGCUACAAUAGGCUUGCAAAAAUAAAGAAAGAACAUGGUUAUAGAAGAAUUGAAACAAGUCUAAAAUAGUGCAGGUGCUGAAGCCAUUACUAUAACACUGUUGCUAUAGUAAUUCUGGAGCAUUGAUAAAGAAGAUUUCACGCAAAAUACUUAGAAGAUUGCGAUAUGGAGUUUCCUAAAAUGGAAGAUAUGCGCCCUAGACUUUUGGUUGCUCUAAUUCUAAGAUAUAGAAGGAGCCACACUCAAAGAAAAGAAGAGAGUCGUCACCCAAGGAGAAAAACCGCAAAGAAACAAAAGAAAAACAUAAUUCAAGAGAGAGAUUGAAGGCUGCACUAGCGAAGAAAACACAUAGAUCCAUUGAAAAUCAGUCAUUCUUGUUCUUUUCUUGUUUUUAUUUAUUCACGGGGAUGUAUUUCGUGGCUAAAACUCUUUUAUUUAUUUUUCUUUCGCAAAUCAUGAAAUAAAUUUGAUUGUAGUUGAGUUAUGAAUGAUCUUAAUGGGUGUUUGACUGACAUAUUCGUGGUAAUCUGUAUUUGCUGCAGCAGUUUAUCUUAAUUGUAUUUAUUUUCUACGUCAUGUUGCUUUGCCGCUCGUUGUGGCAGUUGCUGUAAUUGAAAAUUGAAAUAAGGUUAUCAAUAGCAUUAAAUACCCACCGCAUGAUUGAUGAUUUUCAACAUAAUUCGUAACCAAUAAUGAUUUUUGUAAUGGUAGUAUGGCACCCACUAGGGAUGACAAUAAAAUUCGGAUUCGGCCCGCAUCCGCAAGGAUCCGGAAGAUCCGGAUCCAAAAAAAUUCGGAUCCCAUGUUAAAAAAUGCGGAUCCGGAUGUAAGAAAUUAAAAUCUGCACGAAUUCGGAUCCGGAUUGAGAUACAAGUGCAUCUGGAAAGUCGGAUAUCCGGAUCCGAUUAAUUUUUAUAUUAAAUUAAAAAAUAUAUAUUAACUUACUUAAAAACAAAUUUAACCCAACUCUCACAUUCACACACACGCUCACAACACUUUACCAGCAGCCACAACCCACAAAUCCCUAACACCCAAAUCCCCCAAAUUCCGUAGGAUGUCGUCGUCUGCCUCACGGCCUCGCCUAAGCCUCGUGUCCAAGCCUCGAUCUGAGUCGGUUGCUGUCGCUACGUGCUGCACGCCUCGAUCUGAGUCAGUUGCUGCCACUACAUGCUCGAUCUGAGUUAGUUGUUGCCGCUACACGCUCGACCUGAGUUAGUUGCUACUGCGCCUCGCCUCGCUGCGUGCUACACGCCUCGAUUAGGUUUUAAUUUGAAAAAAGUGUUGAAUUUUUAAAUUAUAUUUAAAUUAUUAAAUUUAAUUUUUGUUGAUCCGGAUAUUCGGUAUAUCCGCCUGCAAUCCAGACGAAUAUUACCCACAUCUGGAUCCGCAAAAAAAAAUUUCCGGAUACGAAUCCAAAUCCAAAUAUAAAAAUAUCAAUCCGGAUAUACCUGUAUCCGAAUUUUGCCAUCCCCAGUACCCACUGCCCGUGCAAUAAUACAUUGACCAUUGAUGCAAUAAGGUAUGGGGCCAUGAAACUCAUCCAAUUCAUUCAUUCACGUGUCCUGCAUUUAUUAUCUCCACUUCACCUUCUUCAACAUUUAUUGCCACCAUCAAAUUCCACAAUGUUCGCCCUUGAAAGUUUUUAUUAUUCAUGUUCAAGAGGGGUCCGCCUGUAAUAAAGCGCUGCAUAAGAUACAGCGGAAGUUUAAUUUUUUAUUCUAAAUUUAUUGGCCGUUAGAUUACUUUAUAAGCAAUCCAACGGCUUCGUAAUUUUAGGCAUAAAAUAGGUCACCGAAACAGAUGGUGGAACACUGGAAUCGGCAAAUAUCCUGGUAAUUAUCACUUUGCUCCCUCAUCUUUUAACUAAAUAUUAAAGACUUCAUUUAAUUUAGACGACUAUCAAAGACCCCCUAACAUAAUAAUAUAUUUUAAAACAUGUAAUGUUGUAAAUAACGUGAAUAAUAUUUAUAUUAGUGUAAACUAUAUUAAUUAUAAAUCAAUGCAAUCAUUUUUAAUAAUGAAAUUGAUCAUAAACAACUUAUAUCAUUGUUUAUUAUGACAUUAUAAAUCUACAAAUGUUUUGCAAUAUAAAAAUUAGUGAGACCUCUUUAAUUUUUUUUCUUUUGCAAAUUUUUGCCUAUUUGGUCAACUCUAUAUUAUUGAUAGUACCAAGUAUUGUCAUUACUCAAAAUAUUUUUGUUUUCAAUAUUAUUUGUACUAGUGACUAAUAUAAAUAGUACAAUUUAGUUCUGGAUAUGGGUAACUAUAAGAUGAAAAAUCUUAUUAAAAAUAUUUCACACAAAUUUCUAAGAAAUUCAUUAAAUUACUUUUUAUGGUCUCAUUUACUCACUAAUUUGAAGUCACAAAAAAUUCUAUGAAUUGUUAUAGGAGCUUAUACAUGAUUACAUGUAAUGUUAAUAUUUAAUGAUAUUGUUUUAUUACUAGUAUUAUGAUUAAUGAUACUAUAACUCUUAAUAUCCAUUACUAAUGUUGUUAAUAAGUAUCUUUGUUAGCCUUACUAUUAUUAUUGGUAAAUUGAACACAUAUAUGAUAAUUUUAUCAAUAUCACUUUUCUUUUAAUCAAAAUGAGCGUAUGUUCUAAAUAUAACAACAUUUUAUCGUAAUAAACUUUUUAAUAAUUUAUUGAGAAAUGUUGCUAAUUAUCAUUGUAAAUUAUUGUCGACAUUAUAUUAUAAAAGCUAAAUAAUUAAUAAUGUAACUAUAAUAUUACAUUGUUAUUUAAAAUAAAGUAUGUAUCUCUUUGUAUAUUUAUGGGAGUAGGUUUUUGAGUUAAUAUUCGGUGGAUCGUUGGACUUUACCAUAAAGUGCAUGUAUACAGAUUAUCAAAUACCAUUAAAUUAUAGUUUAUAAUGUACAUAUAAAUUGUAAAUUUAAAAAUAUUAUAUAAUAUAUUACUCUAAAUAGUAUUCAAUUAAUUUUUUUUAUUUUGAUAUAACACUAAAAGAAUUUUGCUUCAUCUAGGCAGGAAAACUACUGCCUAAAUGAAAACAUAUUUACCCAUUUUCACAAUUUUUAAUUCUAAUAAUUUUUGUAUAUUAUUUAAAUUUUCAUAUUUUAUAUUAUUAUUCUUGAUACUUUUUUUUCAAAAUAACUUUAUUUAUUGUUCAGAAACCUAAAAAGAAAAUAUAAAAUUUAUUUUUUAAAAUUUCAUCAAAAAACAUAUCCUUUAGGCCUAAGGUUUCGUUUGUCGCUUCAUACAUUAAAAUAUAUAUUUUUUAAUCAUUAUUAAUUUUUUUCAUGAUUAAUGUUCUUAAUUUUUUUCUUGUCUUGUUAAAGUUUUGUAAUUAACUUAAAUUGUAUAACAUUUUGAAUUGUCAUUUCAUUUUUUUAUAAGUCUUUUUUUUUAAUGUUUUAUGCUUCCAAUAUAGAAUGAUUGGCAAGGGAAAAUAUUGCAAAGCAUUUGACGCAGAAACUGCUAUUGGCAUCCUCUCAAGUGGUUGAAUCCAAGUAAGGCUGGUGAGCAGCCCAAGCUUCAGCUGGCUGUCUCCAGAUCAAAGGGGAAAUAGAAAUAAUAAAAUUAGUUUUCUAUAAUCCCUUGGGAUUAUUUUAUCUUUUUUUCUCUAAUGGUGCAUAGUUGAGUAGUGAACAAGAAUUGGCAUUGGUUGUAAAUGAACUUUUUUUUUAAUUUGUUCUCCAAAAGAAAGAUGGUGUAGAAAUAAUUUCUCUUAAAAAUUAUAGCAUUGAAUUUUUCUAUUAGAGAAAAUUAAUUUUAAUAUUUAAUAUAUUUUCUUUUUCCUUGAUUGCAAUGAUUUUCUAAUGUGUUUAUAAAAUUAUUGUUUAAUUUGAGUUACUUUUAUUGUGUUUAAUGUACUUGGUAAAGAUAAAUUAAUGGCGACUUAAUAGAACUGGAUUUAAGUCAAUGUUACUUUGUCAAUCUUAAGCUAAAGAUUGAUGAGAGAUUAAAGAAAUAAUUUUUAAAACUAAAUAUAAUGAUGAAAAUUAUAUGUUGCACAAUUGUUUUUAAAAAAAUCUAAGCACAAUUAUGUAAAAUAAUAAAAUGAGCAUUAAUAUGUAAAAGAUCAAAAGUUUAAAGUAUACAUACGAUUAAAUUCAAGAAAUACCAUGAAGUAACAAAGACCGUUGGGAGCCGGGGGGGAGGGGAGUGGACUUAUACAAAUUCAUAGUGUUGAAAAAAAUUGAGGGUUGCAACAAUGAUUUUUCAAAAUUAUAUUGUAAGUUGAUAUUUAUUAAAAAAAAGCGGGGUCAAACGUAAUUUACCUCAAUAUUUUAAUGUUUUACUAUAAUAAAAUGCGACUCGUAACAACCACCUAAAAUGUUGGCAUACGUAAAAACAUUUGGAAUAUAAAACCAAAAAAAUGGUGGAAGUAACUAUUAAAGAGCUGAACCCAUAAAUUGGAACGACUUACUGAUGAUUUGGUAAAUUUCAAUGGGAAUUAGAGACAUGAAAAAUAAACUUGAAACACACACCUACAUGUUGGAAUUCAAUAAAAAGUCUUGGUAUAUAGAACCAAAAAAUAGUGGGAAAAAAGUGGGAGAGUUAACCUGAAAGUUGGAAUUACACAACGAUAAUUUGAUAAAUUCCAAUGGGAAAUAGGGACUAAGAAUUGAAUUUGAAACUUUCACCCAAAAUGUUGGAAUUCAUUAAAAAAAACCUGGAAUAUAUAACUAAAAGGUACUGGAAAUAAAAGUUGAAGAACUUAACACAAAAGUUGGAAUAACUUAUUAACAAUUUGAUAAAUUCUAAUGACAAGUUGGAAUCUAAAAAAUAAACUUGAAACUUCUAUUCAAAAUAUUGGAAUUCAUUAAAAAAAGUAGAAAUAUAGAACCAAAAAGUGGUGGGAACAAGAGUUGAAGAACAUAACGCAAAAUUGGAAACGGCUCACCCACAAUUUGAUAAAUUCCAACUAUAAGUAGGGAUCCAAAAAGUGAAAUUGAAACAUACACCCGAAAUUUUAAAAUUCAAUAAAAAAAGUAGAAAUAUAAAACAAAAAACUAGUAGGAAAAAGAGUUGAUGAAUUUAACCGAAAAGUACGAACAAUUUACCAGGAAUUUGAUAAAUUUCAACAGGAAGUAGGGAUAUAAGAAGUGAACUUGAAACAUCCACCCAAAAUAUUGAAAUUUAAUAAAAAGAGAAGGAAUAAAUAACCAAAAAGUAGUGGGAAUAUGAAUUGAAGAGCCUAACCCAAAACUUGGAAUAACUUAGCAAGAAAUCGAUAUAUUUUAAAGAGAAGUAGGGAUCUAAAAAUGAACUUAAAAUAUCCAUCCAAAAUAUUGAAAUUCCAUAAAAAGAGUAGAAACAUAAAAGGAAAAACUGGUGGUAAUAACAGUUGAUAACUUUAACCUAAAAGUCGGAAUAACCUAACAAAGAAAUUGAUAAAUUUUAACAGGAAAUGGGGAUCUAAAAAGUGAACUUGAAACUCUCACCCAAAAUAUUAGAAUUCAAUAAAAAGAAUAGGAAUAUAGAAUCAAAAAGUAGUGGCAACAAGAGUUGAUGAACUCAACUCAAAAAUUGGAAUAAUGGACUAAGAAUUUGAUAAAUUCCAAUACGAAGUAGGGCUCUAAAAGUAAACUAGAAAUAUCUACCGAAAAUGUUGAAACUCUAUAAAAAUAGUUGGAAUCUAGGACUUAAAAGUGGUGGGAAAAUGAGUUGGAAUAACUUACCAGAAAUUAGAUAAAGGCUAAUGGAAUGUAGGAAUGUUGAAAGUAAACUUAAAAUAUCCACGUAAAAAGUUGGAAUUUAAUGAAAAAAGUGAAAAUAUAGAACCAAAAACUGGUGGAAAAAUGAGUUGAAAUAACUUACCAAAAUUUAGAUAAAUCGUAACAAAAAAAUAGGAAUUUGAAAAGUAAACUCGAAACAUGCACUAUAAAUAUUGAAAUGUGACAAAAUAAGUGGGAAUAUAGUUAUUUUGUGACUUGUUUAUAAUACUUGUAUAGUUUCUUGUACUAUUUAUAAAUUUAAAAUUAUUAUAUUCUUUUGCUUCAUUUAAUUACAAUUUUAUCUUUUUUUCCCUAUUUUUUUCAUAUUUUUUUCGCAUUAAAAACAAAUUAAAAUGUAAUAUUUAUUAUGUUAACCGGUUAAAAACCGGUUGUACUGGUUGCGUGCAUGCGCUGUAUGAGAUACAGCGCUGCACUGUAGGUUGACUCGUUAAAGAGAUUGUUCUGCUUGGGCCUCUUGGCCCUAGCUAAUGCAUAAUCAUCAAAUCAUUGGCAUGGAAAAGUCUUUUGGUACACAGACAAUUUUGCAUAUGUUGAUCAUUUAAUAGAACUUUUAUCAUUAUAUCUAACUAUUCCUACGAUACAAUAUUUCAUUGGAUAUGAACAUAUAUGUCUUGCCGAGAGUAUACAUAAAGCUUAUAUUUAUUUUUACUACCGUUCAAUAAAAUCAUGCUAUUUAUACAAUCAUCAAAAAAACAAUAUGUAAUUUUUUUAGGAGAAAUUUUUAUUGAAGUAAUUUUGGGAUAAGAACAUUUCGGUUCAGUAGUUUCCAAUGUUAUUUUUCAAGUACGGAUGUAGCUCGUCCAAUUACAUCAAAUAGGUCCAUGAUUCCUCCCAAGUUUUGUUUUGUUCUUCUUCUUUUAAUAUCACAUUACCACAAUCUCUUAAUCAAUUCUAUAAUGGCAAAAUUUAAAUAUUUUGUUUGGAUUUAGAAUAAAUGGAACCUAUUUUUGAAUGAUUAAAAGAAAAUUAACCUCACAAAUACACAUAAGUAAACUCAAACUUUGUGGAAAGAGAAUUAAUUUACUAUUAGGUUAUUGGAUGGUUCUCUUGACCCUUAAUUUUUUAAGAAAAAAAAAGGAGAUUAAGGCCCUAACCCCAUUUGAGAAGUAUCUAAAUGCUCUUUACUCUGUAAUAGUUUUGGCAUAGUCUUACAUUCUUAAAAUUCAUUCAAAUGGAGAAGUUAGUGGACUAAUUUAAAAAAAAAAUAAAGAUCUAAAGUUAUUAACCGUUUUCUAAUUUUCUAUUAAGAAAUUUUUUGCUGGAAUAUGGAAACCUAUAAGCAAUUGCGAAUGUAUUGACCGCAAUUUGCAAAACUCGGUGACUCUGGAAUGAUCUCUCCGCGUACGCGUGAGUGCGUGUCGGUAUAAAUAUGAAGGACUUAUCACAUUGCCCACAUUGACGACCCACCCCAACAAUUAGGUUACAUGCCUCUUUCGUCAUAAAAGAUUAUCAAUUCUUAAUUAAUUUGGCUCUUUUCUGCCGUCCAAAAAAUCUUAAUUUCCCAAUGUUAGAUUUGAAUUGAUUGAAGAGUUUGAAACUAUUGGCACCUCUUUAAUAACUUCUUAAAACUCUUUUCUUAACGCCACCCAUUUAAUAAUUAGAAUAAGUUAAACUUUUUGUUUGCACCUAUUUUUAUUACUUAAAUACCCUUGUUUUCAUUUUCUUCUUUACUAAAAUCCCACAUUUUUCGUUGUAUAAGUGUGCAAUAUCAUAAUAUGGUCUUCUUUCUUUUGAAUUUUAUU
rnacentral:lncRNA from 1 species